GGGCCAAGGCGCUAUUGGAGAUGCGCAAAAAAUAUCCAUCGGGAGAUGGCGCUGACGCUGACGCUAACGCUCGCAAGGCGGUUUUGCAGGCAAUUUCACAAAAUAGUUUUUUUUUCGUUGAGCUCAUAACCCGGUUUGGGCCGAUUGACUCUGAGAGCGAUCGAGGGGUCGCGGGCUCACACCUUGCUUUUGCGCAUAGGAUCAAAGAGAUCCUAGAAUUUCAUGGAAAGAGCAGCGGCUCUCUGAAAGACCUCAUUGAUCUGAAAUUGGAUUUGGAAGACGCCUCUAAAAGAGAGGAGAUUCUACUUCCAUAUUUUUCCUCCAAAAAAGAGGCAAAGUCCUAGCAUGAUAAAAAAAGAAAUAAUGGGCAAGGGCGGGGAAUGAUAGGUUCAUAGAUGUGGAGUAAUCAGUUCUUCAUUUGAAGAGUUAGUUGGCUGGCCUACCGGCCCGCAGAUGUAGAGAGGUUGCCCCCACCAAUCUCUUGAACUACGAAAUCAAAGCGAUUCCUGUUGAUGGAAGAAAGGCUAAUUUCGUUUGAUCCAAUCCGCCUAUGCCAGUUCGAGUCUGGCGAGUCGCUAUCAUCUGUUGCCCUAACGUUUUCUAUUAGCUCAUCUUGUCCGUAGUGAUAUUUUGGAGAAGGAGCAAUUACCGGAGUGAGAAAGGUAGAAAGAAGCAAUCACGAAAGCUAGUGCUAGUUGUGGCUUUUUGUACUAAUCUUGUUUGUUCGGUAGCUCGCAUCAGCAGCUUUAAAAGGAAUAGAAAACAAGGCUUUUUCCACCACACCAGGGGCGGGCAUUACGCUCAAGCAGGGGAAGUCAAUUUGACUGCUGCUCGAGAACCUAUUUGAACAAGAAGAAGUAGCAUGGCUCCAGCGGGGCAGAGCCAAUUGGCUACGACAUGGUGACUGAAAUACAAAUUUUUUCCACCACUUUGCCAUUGCAAGAAAAAAGAGGAAUCUGAUCAAGUACUUGAUGAGCGAUACUGGAGAUCGAAUAGAAGGUAAUGACUUACUCGAUGCACAUAUUUAGGGCUAUUUCUCUCAUCUGUUUAAUACGCAAUUCUCUUCGAUAAGAAGGGUUCUCUUGUGUUCCAGGGUUGAUUAAGCGUCUGGUGGAACAGGGAUACAUUGUGUGAGGCCAAAUUGCCUGACGAAUUGAUGAAUAUGGCUCAAUAUAGACUGGUCCAGGUAUACCGAUCAGUCUUGAGCCACUAGGAUAGCCUUCCACAUAUCCUGUUCCUCCCUUGAGUGGUAACUCUUUUCUAACCUUAGAAUCCUGAACCAAUUUGCUCCAAAGACUCUGUCAUUGAAAGGAGUCCAUAGGUUGAUAAAAUAGGUUUUCAUGAAAACCACACGUAGAUAGAAAAGGUAAGAGUUACACGUGCCAGAAGCGAGGAAUACCGCUCGGAAGCCCGAUUGAACCUGUCCUCAUUCACUGCUAUCUCCAUAUAUUGGAUGCCAAGCUUGAAAGGGUAAUGGUCCGAGAGGAUGGGGCCGUAGUCUUCUAUUAUGCACGCUACACAGACGAUAUGGUCUUCGGCUUACUGAGAGGGGAUAAGUCCACGCGAGUCACCCAGGGUCUCAAAAAGGUCUUAGCUAGAGUCCUUAGGGAGCUCCUACAGGGCUUCACUUCUACUGAAAUUUCCAGAAAACAACCAGGGAGGCUACAAAUUAUCGGCUUGCCCCUGUCUCUGAAAAGUGAAGGUCAGCUCCACGUGGGUAUUCCAUCCAAACGAUGGGAGAAGAGGAUGACACUUGUUCAUAUUGAAAACCGGAGACGAAGGGAAAGAGGUUUGAUUGGAACAUGUUCUACAAGAACUCCUGUGUAGAACACGCCCGUAUCUAUUCUAUGGGCUGGCUUCAGGCCAACCCUACUGCUGAAGUAGAAAGCAUCAUAUUCCAGUUUUUCCAACACUUGAUCAGGAACCGGGCGCAGAAAUUCCUUGAAAAGAAGGGGAUGCCUACAACCAAUGCCUAAAUAAAGGCAUAUGUCGAAAAGUGCAACUACUAAUAGAUUCAGUAAAGGAAGGCCCGGAACGGGCUGAGCUACUGCCCGAAAUAGAAGAGGACGACUAGAGUAGAGGAGCCUAAUUCCAAUCCAAACAAUUGACGAGGGAGUCUAAUUAUUUUUCCGUUCUUGAUUGUUUCAAUUGCACUUUCUUCAUUGGAGGGUUGCUCGGAAAGUGCGAUAGUUACGGCGCUUGGAGUAUACGGAUUGAAUUCUUCCUUCUUCUAUAGGUCUUUCUGGGCGGCGAGGCGGAAAAAAGGUGUAGAGAGGGAGAAGGUACAUAAAAAACGAUUUCUAAGGUAGAAAAGAGGCAUCCACCAGUCAUUGAGAACAGCUAAUCCCGGAAUUAGCAGGCCAGUAUGCGAAGAGAAUUCGGUAUUGAAUCCGCGAGGCCAGUUGAAGAAAAGUCCAAUAUGGGUGGAUUACAUAAGUCUCUGGGACUGACUGAACUGAAUGUAUAGCGUCAAGAUAAGAAGCAUGUUAGUCGAAGAUGUACCUUGUGGGGUGGGGUACGAGUAGACCAGACCAAUGAUGAAAAACAUAGAUACGAGCAUGGCCUCCCUGUCUCAAAAGCAGGCCGCCAAGGGUGCUCGCAUGAAGCAUUUCUCACUCAUAAAUAAGUAGUUAUCACAAAUUUAGAAACAUGCUCUAAUUUCUCUUAUCGAAUUUCAUUCAUAUUUUCCAGUAUUCGGAGUUGCUUGGGAAAAGGUCUAGUCAGGGUCGGUUCUGUUCGGAGUUUCGGGUUGAUCGGAAAAAACACCCUAAUUAAGACUUUUGUAUAGUUUGUGUCAACCUGAGUUUGGUUAAGUGCCCGCCCGCCUAGAUAGAUACAUAAGUGUCAGUUUGAAUGAAGUCAAGUGCAAACCGUGUCAACAACGAGAAAUUGAAGUGUAAAUCUGGAUGGUUUGAAGUGGAAACCUUAACAUACAGAAGUGUCUACCUCAUUAGAAAAGCAAGUAUCUACCGGCGAUAUAUUCAUUCGAGUAUCAACCGGCGUCAACCAGUUGUCAAACUCCAAAUAUUUCGUUCGUAGGGGCAUGAAGAAGUUGCUAAACCGAUUGUAAAGUGGCUCUGAUAAAAACCAUCAUUGCUUUAUUUUUUACUUUUCAUCUAGUAACGUGCAUGAAUGGAUAUGGUGGGUAAGAUUUGAAAACGUUUGACAUCAACCGGGCUCUACUUUGCUUUUACUUUACUUCACUUGCCAGGUCAUUGUUGUCGAUAUUGAGGUGAGGACUCUCUCUUUAUUCUCGUUUUAUUUAUCACUAAAUGAUCUAACAAACGCAUGAUUUGAUUACUAAAUAUUGAGUCAUUGAACGAAUAUUCGAGUAAAUUCACCUUUUUUCUAUGAAAGCAAGGAUUGGGCUGGGUUGCUUAUUCGUCAUCACGGAGCAACCCGGUACCUUUUCUUAGGCGAGCGACUGAGACAAGAGCUUUCAAUUAUGCCGCUUUGGUCAAAUCCCAGGGCUCUUUCUGAUUUGAUUAAAUAGUUCUAUGUUGUAUGAUAAUAGAAAGUCAAGAUCUCACUCGCUUUUUCUGCUUUUCUCGGCUGUUCCCUUUUUCCACAUCGAUUGCUAUAGGAGUUCCAUGCUCAACCUAUGUAUGCUCAAAGAACUGGAUCACGGAACUCUCAGCCCUUCGCCCCAAGGCUACGAAAACAUUUCUACUCCCUUUCCCUUCCCAACGUCAUAUCUUUCUUCGAUAAGAAGGAAAGAUCACUCUCUAUCUAAAUGAUAGAACCACUGGCACGGUACCUUUCACAUUGGUAAGUCAAAUCCUGGUGAAGACAUCACGAGCAAUGACACGACGACAUCAUCUCCACUUCGUAGCCCAUCGGUCUUCAUUCAUUGAAGCCAGGGCAUUGACUGACUUUCAGCGAUCGCUAUAAGAAAGACAUAAAAAAAGUUCUCCUAAACCUGUUCCUUUCCGUUACUACUACUUGGAAUUGGAAGUCUAGGAGCAGGACUAACCUUUUUAUUUCGUUUAAAUAAAGUCGAGAUGUAGCUUUCUCUAUCUCAAUAAAUUAUUCCACCUCCAUUCAUUGGAGAACAAAGCAUUAUCUGAUUAGAUCCUUGCUUCAAACUCAACCGAAUCAAGUUUCAAAAAUAGAUGUGGAAGAGGCAAAGGGAAGAGCGGGGUUGCCGAAUUGUUUCUCAGAGCCGGACGAAACAUCUAUCUCUAUUUACAAUACCCCCAAGAAAACUUUGUCGAAAAAGGUUGUCAUCAUAAUAGGGAUUGCACCUCAACAUGGCAGCCCUCAAUUCUGCCAAUUGUGUGUGACUUGUACUCUUCUAGGCUUCUUGUUUGCCUCAAGUGAUUAAACUCAUCAACUACACCAACCACAUUUCUUACCUCAAACCUCUCUACAAUCUCUUGAAUUCACUCUUGCCAAGAUACUUGUCCCCUAUUCACUAAGAAACUGUUGUACCAGCUUUCAGCUCUCCCCCUAAGGUGCAUAGACGAAAGUUCUACCUUGUACCAAUCCGUAACUUGGUACACCGAAAAGUAAUGUUCACACUUUUGUAUCCAAGACCUGGCCCCUUCAAAUAUUAGAAAAUAAACUCUAGGAGGUUGAUGUAUCUGCUGCCCAUAUUGAUAUUGAUUUUGCGGCCUUUGUUCUUGCAGGUAUUGGUACGGGUCAUGCUGUUGAGUUGGAAGCGGUUGGUUAAGGUAAGUAUAUAUUGGCACUUCUGGUUUCAUGGAAUUUCCAGCAUAGGGCAAAAGUAUUGGUUGGGAAAAUUGGAUAUUUGGUAUUGAAUUGGGUCUUGGUUGUGGUGGUGGAGGUGCAGGAUUAGGUCUAAUAUUAUCAUGUUUUGAGCUGUGAGGAAGGCCAUAGGUGGCUGGACACAAGUGUUCGUGCCAAGGUUUUGAGGGGGAUAGAGAGGGUUAUUUUUGUGAUUGGGUCUUUUAGUUGCUUUGCUACUAGAGGUCUAGGUGGUCAGGGGUUUAAAGGUCUGGAAUAGGUGUGAGUGGUGGUCGUAUUCAGUACCAAUGGUACGGUAAUUGGAGGUUCAGGCGGUUCAGGCCUAGGAUAAGAGCUAGAGGCUUGUUGAGGGGUAGCCAUGGUUUCAGCUUCACUGGCAACAGCUGGUAGGGACAUUUGUUGUGGUGUUCUAGGAAAAUGAACCAUAUUGCCCCUAGUUGUGUUAAUCGAGCUAUGCUCUUCUUCAACGCUCCGCGCCUUCAAAAAAGUAGUUUUGUUGCUUGCGCUUUAAUUUAGGAGUUUCAACUUAACUAGCAUAUGUGCAUUUGGGUUGUUGGCAUAUGUCGGCUACAUACUGGAUGCUUUUCCAUCAUUGUUCGACUUGCACAGAAACAAUGGGUCCCUUCUGGUUUCUUUUUCUCCCUCCAAGUUUGUUCUUCACUGUAAUGUGUGUCAACUCAACAAGAGUGAGCACACCCUUCCUGCUAGUCUUCUUCAACCUUUGUCUGUUCCAUUACAACCUGGGUCUUCUAUUUCAAUGGAUUUUCUUGAGGCACUCCCCAAGUUUUAUGGUUAUAGCUCAAUACUUGUGGUCGUGGACCGUUUCAUGGCUCAUUUCAUUCCUCUAUCUCACCCUUUUAGCUGUAUACCCUAUCUUGUAUCCAGUAGUAAGUCUACUCUUCUUACCCCCUCUCCUCUACCUUUUGUGGCCCAUCUAUUAGCUUUUUAACCAUCUUUGAGUCAUAGCGAGACGGCUCUAUCUCUUUUCACAAGUACAGCCGUAAGUACAGUUGCGGGCGUCAACGAUCAGCAGUACUGAGCUACGGAAAGUCUAUCGAAUUAUAGCUACGGAAAGUCUAUUGAAAGGACCUAAUCAAAGGCUACUACAGCUAUAACUGACCCGCCUAUGGAAUCUAUUGGCUCGGCUGAACCGACAUGAAAUGAAAGAGAGGAAGGCGGAAGCUAUUGGCAAAUAGAGGGGGGAUGUUCUCCGUGUCUUUUAGCCCUCACUAGAUGACAACUUGCUUACUUUUCACUUCUUCUUAAGCUUGGCAGACUAGUUCCUGACUGACUUGAUAGUGCGAUGAGCUUACUUGCUCUAGUUCUAUCCUCAGGAUUUACUUACCUGAGUACCUAGCACCGAGGAUCGAUGUAAUUUACUUUCAAAAAGAUGUUGUUGAUGCUAACGCGCAUAUAAAUAGAUGUUCCCCACUGCUUGCUCCUCUUACCCGAAUGGGGUUAUAUGCCUUAGUGAAACUCAGGGUAAAGUGGGAGUGGUAUGACCUCGGGAAGAAAGAAAGAUCGGGCGGGGAAAACGGGGUUUGAACCCGCGACUUCUGGCGUGACAGACCAGCACUCUAACCAACUGAGCUAUUUCCCCCUUUCGUAACUACUGUCGAUUCAACAGUCACCUACCAGUUACCUUUGUAACUAUACCAAAGUAGCUGUACAACAGAAUGCCCUUCGCCUUUAGUACUUUUCUUAUAUAUAUUAUGUUAUAUACUAAAUGUGUUAAAGCAAUAGAACUUAUUGAAAAAAAAACAAGCCCAUCUUUCUCAAAAAGGAAGAGAGGGUGCGCCCCCCCAGAGAGAACCCAUUCUUUCAAGAAAGUUCUAAUUAAUUAUGUAGAAAAAGAAAUAAGGAAAACAGGAGUAAGAGAGUAGGGUCAACAAGAUUCUAAACGAAUACCACAAGUGACGGAACCAACGAUGAUGAAGAGAUAAGGGGCGAAGGAUAUUUUUUCUAUUAUUCCAAUUCUUAUUUAUUGAUUAUCUAAUUUAUUUAGAUCCAUAUUCAUUUGCAUUUGCAAAUACAAACUCUCUUUCAUUUUCUUUUUACUUUUGCGCUAAGGAUAAGGGAACUGAGAAAAAAAGAGCUGGCUUGGCUGGUACAUCAAGCAUAUGACAUAUUGCUUGUUCGGUGUGGUACACAUAUCUGUUUUUGUCAAUCAAGUAAGAAAAUGCAUUCCCACUGUCUGAGGAAAAGGUGAAGAAUUCCCACUGGCUUGUAAGGCCCGUUGAAGUCCCCGAGAAAGGGUAUAAAUAGGGCUAUAAGUAGGCCGUUUGCUAUUGCAAUAAGGGCUGCUCGCCUUUCCUUUUGACGGCUUGGCUUCCUAUCGCUCCUAUGUAGUGGUCGGCCUUAAAAGGAGUCUUCCUACCAUACCAUCAUGCAUGCCUAUGUUAUAGUGCGUUAAGCUUCGCCAGAAGCAAGCAAGAUGAUGAAGCGAAGCUUCGUAGACAAGGCUCGUCCCGUGCUUGACUUACGAGCUCGUGUAGUAAGGCCUCACCCUACUUCAAUAAGGGCUUAUGCACUCCACUCGUAAACGAGCGUUAGAGCUUUUUGAGCAAGCGAGCGAAGCCUUCCUGGAGCUUCCCCCUUCCCUCACCCGAGAAUUGCAUUUCCGCUUCAGCUUCCCCGGUUUAGUUGGUUUGGAGGAUUAAUUGAUUGGAUACCCAAUCCGCAUAAUCUUUCAAAGUCACUGCUUCUACGACAAUAGGCGUAAAGGCAUGAUUAGUUCCACGAAUCUCACUGCACUGACCAUAGUAAACUCCUUCUCGUUGUACCGAGAUGGAGGUAAGAUUUGAACGACCGGUACAGCAUCACAUUUGACACCUGAGGAAGGUACAACCCAACUAUGAGGUACAUCAGCGGGUGUUAAAAUCAUACGUAGAUGAGUUUUGGCUGGUACAACCACUCUAUUGUCAACUUCUAAUAAACGUGAUUGACCCAAUUCUGGAUCAUCUUCUGGAAUUGUAUAACUGUCAAAAGUGAGUGACUGUUCAUCGGAACUAUUAUAGUCCGAAUACUCAUAAGGUUGGGUCAACGCCCGCCUCCCACCAAACUUGACUUGCAAGUUUCCCCGCAAAAAGCUCUCCACGCAUACUCUUAUUUAUAAAGAGCACUAUUCUUCUUUAGUUAGGUAGUUCUCCCCCCUCUAUGAGACCAUAAGACCCCGGUGGAAUCGAAGGACCGCUUACUAAUAGGCAAGAGGGGACCCUUUCUCGCCCAACCCUACCUACAUCAGCGAAGCUGGAACCGAGGAAGACAAUGUUCAACACACAUGAGACAAAAUGAAGGUAUGGGACGGCCAGUUCACCAUGGAAAGGGAUGCUAGUCGGCUUUGGCGAAGUUGUAGGCCCCAAUAGAUCAGAUCUCAAGAGUGAUUCCUCACCUAUCCUGCCAGGGGCCAAGUCGAAGGCUCGAGUAUAGAUUCCCUAUGCUCAUGUGAACGGCCGGUCCGUAGAUCUAAAAGGAUCCAUAAAAAAGACCGGAAAGUAUGUCGAAAAAAAACUCGUUCAUGAGACCUCGAAUUCCCACGUUCUAGCCUGCAUUAUGCCAGCAGGUCCCACCCCCAAUUUCUUGAGUCACCCUUAUCUAAAAAAAGGAUGGAGUCUAUCUAUAUCAUAGGAUCACUGUAUUCAGAGGUCAAUUCUCUUUCUUUGACCUCCCACCGUUCACGACAUCCCUUGCUUCUCGCAAGAACGGCUCCUCGGUGGAGGAGUAGAAGUGCUGGUCCCCUUCGGUCAAGUGCUUGUGCGUGCUCUUACCUACCGUAGGACCUCCGUCCCGAAGCGAAGGAGGAGCAGGAACAACAGGUUGUCCUCUCUUGGCCCAGUAGUUGCACAACUACUACCGUGGUUGUUGCCAACGGGGAUCCCCGAUUCCGAAAGGUAACGGGACCAGCCCUUAGGUCCAAAGUUGUAUGCCACUACUGUGGUGCCGAUAGAUUCACUACUGAAGCCCAGUUAUCGGACAUUGCAGGCUUAUCAUCUAUUUUUCGUAUAUCGCUCCACCACACCGAGAAGAGGUAUGUGUACCUCCAGCAAUAACAAGAAUGGAACCAUAGGCUCCUAUGCUGGGAGCAUUUCGGGGUAUAGGUCUAACCACCUCAACUCCCCGUUUCUGGCAUGCUAUAGUUCUUUUAGUCUCUCGACGACGGGAAUGGGAGAUGACCGGUAAGCCAGAUGCUUCGCGAACCACCAGUACAUUUCGUUGCACUUAAAUCACCCUCGUUAAGAGGCGCACUCCGAUACCAUUGAUGUCCAAUAGCUUUGAUAGUAAUGGCUGGAUCUACUAAUACCCCGUCCAUUGAGUAUAACAGAGCAAAUGAUGGUAUAGCAAUGAACAAAAGAAUGACACUUGGAAAUAUGGUCUGAAUAAUUUCGAUAGUAGUUCCAUGAACAAUCCUUUGUGGGAUUGGAUUAGUUUGCUCGUUGAAAUGCCAUAAAGCGCGAACCAACAUCCGUGAUACGAAAACCAAAAUAAGAAUGAGGAAGAAAAAGAUAUCGUGAUGUAAGUCAAUGAUUCCUUGCAUCAUAGGUGUUGCUGCGUCUUGAGAUCCUAAUUGCCAUGGUUCCGCAGCAUCACAAAGAGCGAUUGUGAGGAAUCGACAUGAUAAUGAACGAAGAAUCAUUGGAAUUUCCCAUCUUUUUCAGCUCUGCUCCCGAAAAGAGAAAGGAAAGGAGACUGAUCUUGACGUCGGCGUUGGUUUUUCCAAUGAAAAACAAGAACAUUCUUUCACGAACUUCCAUGACAAAAUGCUAGUUGCCUCGUAACGCAUACACUGGAGCGUUUGUCCCAUCGACGAAGACUACUUACUAUACGCGUUUUCUGAAGAGCAACAACGGAAAAAAAUAGGUGAACCUGGAUACCAUACUAUUAAAGAGAAAGAUACAGACUAACAAGAAAUCAAGGACCUCGUGAGUACUACUUAGUCGGCCUCGUCAAUUAGUCAUGCCAAUGAGAUAUCAAGCCCUCGAUUCCAACGGGGCUACGGACAAGAAAGGUCCUUUCGAGAUUCUAUUUCCCCUUGGGUCUAUCAAGCUGAACAGUUCGUGGGGAUAUAAGAAGAUCACACUUAGACAACUGUCUACACUACCUCUUUAAUGAUCCGGAUUCCAUGACGCAUAAUUCAUCUGUCCAUAUAUAUUCCUAAUUUCAUAUUCAUCACCAUUUCAAAUCGGGCAAGGAGAAGUCGUCGUGUUGGUUCUAGGAUGGAAUGAUCUUUUGAUCCAAAGAUGCCGGUGCUAAAACCUCUUGUGUCUCUUUUAAUAGGACCGCGAAGGCAAGAGCAUUGAGGAAGCAAGGAUUCUCCCAUAACUAAUUAAUGCGGGGAAAAAACAAGAUUUCACUGAAAAAAGGUGCCUAACCCCGGGAUUUUUCGAUACUUUUCUUGAAAUUGACUGGAUUUGGAAGAAAAUGCACUCAACCUAACAAAUCCUGAUCAAUUCAAGUGGUUAGUUUAAGGGGGUACAUGGGGCUGACGCCGAAGGAGAUAGGAAUGAAGUAGGGCGCGCAGCUACCCAGAGAUUGGAAUGCCCUAUCGACAGGGAAUGCUGGUACCACCUACGGUGCUUGAUAGUCUUUAAUCCAGACGGUCUCGAGAGUACCUUGACCCAUAGCAUAGGGCUUGAUGUGGCUUUGGGGCUUCCCAAAAGGUAAUAGAAUAGGUAGUUCAUGCACCAUCAUCAAUAUGUUGCUGCUAUUGAAUCCGGUUUUGAAUCAAGCAGCAAGAGUCCGACCUCAGGGUCCACCAUAGAAAGGCAUUCCUCAGUCCCAGAAUAACAUGCAUACGGGAGCCAUAUUCCAAUCAUGUGAGCAGACUUCUUCGAUAAGCAAGCAGCUGUUCGCGUAGGCCCGGAUACAGAGGAAAGGGAGGGGAAGGUAUAGAAAUCUAUCAAAAGAGCACCUUAACGGCGAUGCCUGGAAGGAGUCCCUCUUAUUUCAGUAUAUAGGACUUCUUGUCCGCGGGACCUAACUAACUACCCGAUCGAUGGAAAAUAAGGGCAAGUCAAUACCAGAUCGCACUCAACAAAGUAAAACGGGAUGAAUUUAAUCGCCAAGACCUGCCACUGGCUGAUUCCAUAAGCACAGAAAGAAGGGUUUACGAAUAAAAAAAAGCUGCUCAUUAGGGUCUCUUUUCAUAUCCGGCUAUGUGAAAACCCAUGUACUCUUCUCUGAAACAGCCUACCUACCUUUUGCUUUUUCAGAUAAGUAAAUAAGCGGACCUCCUUUCCGGAGAUCAAGUUUCUACUGGACUGACCACGGGUCUUGAUCACAAAGUUCUAAGGUCAAUUCUCUAAUGAGAACAGACUCUGUCCACAAGGGCCAUCAAGCCAACUAUAUGGAAGGACCCGGUCCCACAUUCCUGCUCAUGUUCCGUUUUCCUUGUGGUUCCCGUAGUCGAAGCAGCUUAAAGAAGGUCAGGUUUGGAACUCGUGAGGGAUGUUUCGUUGCAUGUGGAUCUUCCGCGCCUACUUUGUCCUAAAUUUGGUCACCCAUGCACUUUUCUAGUUAGGGCUCGACUGGGUCCUUUGAUAAUAUAGGUAAGUCGGGCUUCUUUUUAAGCAAUAUCAUGACUAGAAUCUUGAGAGGAUGACUACAUCCUUGAAGCUACAAAGUCCAACGAAUGUUGAAUCGACGCAUGAUGAAAACAAGGAAAAAUAAAAGGUGACUUCCGUUGACCAAGGAAAUCGAAAUGUAUGUGCCGGUAGAACAAAGAUACCAUUAGGUGAUAAAUUGAUGCUGCCUGCACGCACAGAUUCAGGAGAUGACAAUUUUAGCUUCAAUAUAAGAUGCCAAUGAUGCAUUCAAAAAGGAAUGAGUGCUGCCCGAGUCGACCAAGAAAAGAGGGUAACAUCCAAAUUAUGGACUACUGAGCAAGCUAACUGAAUGGAACGGAGUGCAGGAGAUUUCUGAUUAGCUUCAGCGGAGAGGACCCUUAGAUCCGAAGCAGAGUCAUCAUGGUCCUGUAACAUAGAAUAGCCUGCAGCAGUACUCCGCGAUAAUUCCGCCAUUUCCUGAACAACAUGGAGUUGAACAGUAGCUUUACACUGACAAUCCUUCGCCCAGCGCUCACCACAACCAAUCCAGAGAACCUUCGCACGCCGAUAAGCCUUCAGUCUAUCAUAAGAAGAAUACUUGAAACUUACACUUAGACACUUGAGUAACCAAUCAAAUCGUACAUCUUGUGGCAUGCUCACCAAUAUUGACGUAAAGUGAGGUGAUCAGGGUUGAUGCUGUGAUGCGAAGGGAAGGGGCCACUCAAUUCAAUUCAAUGUCGUAAUCCGACCUGGCUUCUCCUGUCCGCACUUGGGACAGAUUGAUACUCGUGUUUUGCUGGAUUUGAACUUGCUUAAAAAGAAAGGACUCAGCUUCCGCAAAAGUGAUCGAUGGAGAAGCUCAAAAGUCUGAAUCCACCACUAGCUAUCAUUCAAGUUUGCACUUUUCAAGCUCAUCCUUACCUUUGCGCUUUAGCUGCUUGUUCCCACUAACCCAUUUCAUUUUCUUAGCUGGAUCCUUCAUAAAGUAUCUCUUAUUGCUUGUCCAGAGCCUGGAUGUCAACCUUAGCCAAAGCCUGUAUCUCAUCAGUCUCCAUCUGGGCCUCAAUCGUGAACUGAAGAUGACGCGCGGUCAGCGAGGAAUGAAUUCGAAAACCCGUACUUGGAGCAUUAUUGCACUUGGGAUAAAGUAGAUGUCAAAACAGCUUCUUCUUCAAGUUCGCUAUCGUGAGGGAUGUCUAUGAUAAUAUGCUCACUGCAUAUGAGUUAGUUCAUUCCAUGAGGUCGAGGAAAGGUUGAAACCAUUUUAGAGCUAGGCGGGGUCUCUCAGAUGCAGACUAACCCAUUUCGACGUGAAGCAUCGCAUCAGCUUGUGAUCCUAAAUCUAGUGAUUGAUUAUUGACUUGUCAAGGGCAGGUUGGUGUCUUAAUGUGGAGGAAUUCCGUACCUAAGAUAAGAAGUUUCAUUUCAUGCCUACCGUAGUCCCUAUUUUAUUGGGCAUAGUCCCCCUUACCUACUCCCGAGAGUAGAAAAUCAACAUUAUGUCGUUCUUAAUAAGAAAGAGAUGCUCGGGUAGCAAAGUUGCCUACCAUUAGGUAUUGUUUGAGCCCGUAACUUCCAUUAGGAGAGGUAUCCUCGCUCAGUUUCAACUGGUGGUUACUUAAGUUUCUUUUCUCUGCCAGAUUGCGUUUCAAAUUCAGACUUGUCUUUGUUAAACAACGCUUUCGGGUUGCCUAGACCAGAGAAUUCAAGAAAUAGAGACGCGCAUUGCCUAAUUGGUAGUUUAUUUCCCACCAUAGCUUUACUCAAGUGGAAAUCCUUUGAAUCAAACAAAAAGUUUGUAACCGCUAGGCUGCAUCGUCCCCUUCAACCAGAAUCAUCUAGAUUACAGAUUUCAUAACUGCAUUUUGCAAGAAGAGAGUGCCUCCCAUUCUCUGGAGUAACGAUAAUAAUAACACUCCACGUCGCCUUCAGGCUUGGAUCCAUGCCUUGCAUCUUCUUCUUUCUCAGAAAAGAACUCAGAUCGUUUAGAUUCUUUGCCAGGAGAGUCCCCGGCUUUCGAGCCCUACUCGUGGGAGUUGCUUUAUCCAUCAUUGCUAUUGGCAUCUUGGCGUUAAACAAUUCGUUUAUAUAAACACUUUUGACAUAGCAGAAUCCUUCUCAGGUUGAUUUGUGUGCCACUCGUCAUCAGACAGUGAAACGUCUGGUCUAGCCCUUAGCUGAGGGAUCUUCACUCCUGUCUUGCCAUCCAUAUCCGUGCCCACCCGAACCAUGGGAAAGAAAGUUUGUCAGAAAUUACUUGUACUUGAGGGCAAUGAUAAAGUGAAGAAAAUUAUAGAAACAAUGAAAUGAAGCUAUGGCUCGAACUAUUGGAGAAGCCACCAUAGAAUAUAUCCAUGAGCUUCUCAAGCACUUCUUCUUCCAAUUACUUUGUGACGAUUUCAAGGAAAAGUGAAUGAUUUCAAUGAAGAAAAGAAUCAUAUGCUCGAUCCGUCGUAACAAGAGGGAUAAGAAAGUCUCAACUCCAACCGCGGGAGCAUUUACUAUUUGGAAGUGUGCGAACGUAGCUGGUGGAUCGGGGAAACAGGAAAUCCUUGUGGUAAUGCCGUGGGAAUAGGAGUUGUUAGAGCGAGGUAUUGCAAUGAAACAGAUUGUUCAACAGAUUUCUUCAUUGCUAAGGGUAAAUGGCAUUUUCAUGGUCAAAAUUCCAGAGAGGAGUUCCGAGCUUCAAGGAUGUCGGAUCGCACCAUUCAUAAGAGAAACCCUUGGGUGCCCGAUGAGGCACAAAACAGAUAACCAGACUGUGCCCUGGGCAAGGAAAUAACCAUGGCAAGCCACGAAAGGAAUGAAUAAGCUCCCUCCGGGCUCUCUCUUCGGAGUUUCACGCCAGUGGAACUCACAAAAGCAGCGCAGCUAAUGAAUCAAUGAAUCUGUGGGAAAAUCGUUGUGUCCAUACAUUUGAUGUGCCUUUUGAAAGUCGCAUUUGUUUUCAACAAUCGGAAAUGGGAAUAUUCCAUUCCAUGGCAUAGUUCUCAAUGUUAGUAAACGGAGUGCGUUAUCAACUCAAUAAUAAAUCUCCCCUACACCGUAACCGGAUUACAUUCAUUCAAGUUGGCAAUCCCCUGAUCUUUGCUUCCGGUGUGCGAUCCGAAUUGACAUAUAAUGACCGUAGUUAGCAGGCAAUGGCCAAGGUCAGUGCAUCUCGAACUAGUGGGUCACUAUAUCUAAACUAUCUAAUACAACUAUGGAAUGCGCUUUGAAUUGCACUUCUGCUCGUAACCACUACGAACCGGAAAGGAAGGAAGCAGCUUUAGAGGAGGGAUGCCGUCAAACAAAGGAUUUUUUAUAUGCUAAAGAUACCGGUUCAAUAUGUCAUUUCCGAAACCGAGGACCACACCGCUGGGAGGACAACUCAAGCACCAAAGACAAAGGUAUCGCUCGUAAAAGUGAUUUUCUUCGUAGUACUCGCUCUAGCGUUAGGUUCAUUGCAGCGUGUAAAUACCUCUAGCCCUAGGGAAGGGGGCGUGCCGUUCCCAAUGGUGGAAUUGCUUCUUGUCUGCUUUGCCAAGGAGAGCGCUCGCUACCCGAUCCCCCUAAGCUAAUGUAGUUCCUAGGUUGCCUACUAGAUACCGUUUACGGCUAUAUCCGUGUAGGAAGCCGAGGAAAGAGAUAAUUGAUAGUUGCCAAAACCACGUAAAAGAAAUGAGAUUGAACAUAUUUCAAUUCAACAAAUUCUGAUUGUUUCAUUAUCAAAUGCAAGGGAUGUGGGACCAGGUUCUAUUGUUGGAAUUAAGCGGUGUAGGAGCCGUGUCGUUCCUGUGUAUUAGCUCGUUGUUAGCAGCCCCGAAGGGCGUAAAGGGGGUAAAAGAUUUCUCGGAAGCAGCUCCUUGCCUGUGGGAACUUGCUCUUUUCUUUUGUUUUAAAAUGCAACCUAUGCUGAAACAGCCGAAUAAAAACCAAAAAGUAAAGAGGUGGAUCAGUUGAUCCUUUUCUCGAUUGAAUGCGCUUUCUGUCUAUCUAUACUGGUACCAGGAAAAGCAGAAUAAGCAGUUGAGCACCAAGAAAUUCCUGUUUCAAGUAAGUACGAAGGGGCAAGAGAGACUGUCAUAAUAUUACUAUGGGAGACGGAUCCUGUUAAGUCAGUACGAAUGUGAUACGAAAAAUCCUCUUCCAUUCUUUCCGGCUGGGCAACAUGACUGAUGGGAAUGUUCGCUACUGCUUCGGCGUCCAUCUCAUACAUAUGUUCUCUGACCACCUCCAUAUUCCACGGCCUGGUUGCAGCAUGGAUAAGAUCCGACACAAACAUAGGUGGAUCAUUGGACCGCGGGCACAGCGGCAUCAUAACAUCUUGUUUCUCAAGAGUACGUAGCAAUCGGUCCUUCUUGGAGUUCAACAAAAUGAACAGUAGCUAAAUUGGAACUAAGGUGACCGAUCAUCCACCGGUGGGUAGAAAUAUGAAUGUUGACUAGGGUCCCCUGUGCUCAUUUGAUUCUGAGUCGGCAGCAUAUCAAGCUCCUAGCCCCGCCUUAACAACCCUCAUAGUGUUAUGUCCCCCGAUCGAUAGCUUAAUACAUUUCAGUAUUUGGCUUGCUUUCUUCAUUUUCCUUGCAUAGGUAGAAACCUUUCUGGGUGUGUCAGCACACCAAAUUAUAUGACUAUAUUCAAUAUGCCCUGAUGUCCAUAGUACCGUACUCAGACGACCCUACCCUUCCAGAAUAGUAGGAUUACAUUCAUCGUUCCAGCUGUAAACACAGUUUCUAGUUUGACUGAAUGAGAGUCAUGCAAUAGGCAUCAGUAGGGAGUGCGAAAGCAAAAGCUAAGUGAUCGGACUAACACAGAGUGCAUUUCUCCCGGGUAAGCUUAUGUUCCUGAUAUCUGAUACCUAUGCUUGCUCCUUAUUUUAUUAAUAAUUGAUCCAAUUUAUACGAAAAAUACGUAGGUUGAAGAAGUUAUCAAGAAAAAUGAUUGGGAUCUUUCAAUAUGCUAUUCUUGAUAUCAUGUUUUUUAUUCUUGAUCCUAUCAAGUAUGGAUUCUAGAUUGUUAGUUGGAGCAUCCUGACCAGUCUAGUUUAUUGUGAUAUGAUCCUGAGGGACUCUUCAAAUACAUGUAGGGAGUCACACAGGUCUCCGACAUAUCAAAUUGUAUCUGGAUUUGAGUCAGAGCAUUUCCUCUGAUUCCUAGCUCAGAAAUCUUUGCUUUAUUUACUAAAGAUUGGAGCACACAAGCGCAAACGCAGUAAUCUGAUUGAGAAAAUGGAUAGUUGCUGCCAUUGAUAUUAAAGAGUCUGUCUAGUGCCAAAAAGGUCCUUCCAAGGCCUGAGCUAUCAAAUUCAUGUGAUACACACUUUGCUCUCUGCGGAUCACACUCAGCUUACUACAACUGAGGGUAGGAUUGGUUGCACAAUGCAUGCUAUCCAUUUGUUAUUGGUGAUAGGAAGAUAGCUCAAUCAUUGAACUAGCAUUGAACAACCUACUUCAGAAAAAACUUAGAGUUAACCAUCUAGUGCGAAAGUGCUAGUUUCCCCCUCCCAGAGGUGAGAAGGGAGAUAUGAGCGUGGCGGUAUCUUUUCCUCUUUUGAUAGAAGCCCACAUGCCCACUCUUCUAUCCCACCUAUCCACAUGGGGUAUCAGUGGCCUCGUGAUCUCCAUGAACAGAGAUCACUACACAAAAACAACUAUAUGAAAAACUUGCUUGCUUCUUCGAAUCUCAAAAUAACAGAACAUAUAGAAAGUGUUUCUGUGAUUUUUCCAUUCUCUUCGGGGAACCUAUAGAAAGAUUAUCAAACGGCUUUCAUUCCCUUCAGGGGGGUGUUCCUUCAGAGCAGUCCAUAUCAUCAGAUGAACUCCCUGAUGAAUCAGUUGAUGAAUCAUCAGAUGAACUCCCUGAUGAAUCAGUUGAUGAAUCAUCAGUUAUCUCAUCAUAAUCCGUGUCGAGAUCCGAUGAAUCAGUUGAUGAAUCAUCAGAUGAACUCCCUGAUGAAUCAGUUGAUGAAUCAUCACUCUCCACCACAUUUUCAUGAUCUGGAAAAGGGGGCUGCCCCUGCCAGAAUUCUGCAGCUCCCAGGGGGAGAACGUUUAAAUCAAAAGGAAGAACAAGGGCGAGUAAAUGAUGGAGACUAAAAAAAUGAUUUAAGGUGGCAUUGUCCACGGAGAAACCACCCCAAAGCCAAGUCACUAUGGUAUCUCCUACUAUUGGUAUGGCGCUAGCUAAGCUUGUAAUUACUGUUGCUCCCCAAAAGCUCAUCACACCCCAAGGUGGUACGUAUCCUAUGAAAGCUGUCACAAUCAUUAAUAGGAAUAUUCAUAUUGUGCCGAGUAUUCCAUUCAUUUUCAUCAUAAUACUAUGCUUCCUUGCCCGUGUGGAACAUGUGUGAGCAUUAUGUUUUUCCAACAAGUGAUCCGACUGGAAGAAGUAUUAUAUGAGGACUUCGAGAUCAAAUAGAGAAUCUGUCUCUCCAUUCCUCGUGAGCCACUUAUUUCUCCGAAAUCAGAGAUCAGAGUGAUUUUCCUCCUUUUUCCCAAAUAGUCGAUGGUCUUACACCAUUGGGAUAUUUCGGAUAAACUGGAGUACAUAUAUGAGAGACCGGUGCUAAAACCUUUUCUCGAGAUAUCUUCCAGAUUCUUAGGUUCCUUGCUCUGGAUCUCGCCCCCCCCCNNNNNNNNNNNNNNNNNNNNNNNNNNNNNNNNNNNNNNNNNNNNNNNNNNNNNNNNNNNNNNNNNNNNNNNNNNNNNNNNNNNNNNNNNNNNNNNNNNNNNNNNNNNNNNNNNNNNNNNNNNNNNNNNNNNNNNNNNNNNNNNNNNNNNNNNNNNNNNNNNNNNNNNNNNNNNNNNNNNNNNNNNNNNNNNNNNNNNNNNNNNNNNNNNNNNNNNNNNNNNNNNNNNNNNNNNNNNNNNNNNNNNNNNNNNNNNNNNNNNNNNNNNNNNNNNNNNNNNNNNNNNNNNNNNNNNNNNNNNNACUAAUUCCAAGUAUUCCAUUAUUAUUAUUAAAUAAGAGAAUAUAAAAAGUAAAGAGGAGAAGACAUAACCAGAAAAAUUGUGAGAAAUAAGUUAAUUUAUCAAGUUGAGGCAUUUCGAUUUGGAUUUCAAAUAAGAAAGAAAAGACUCCGAACCGUACUUUUGCUAUUUUAUAUCUACACAAAAAGAGAUUGACUUUCCAAAAUGGAAUCUUUGCCAUUUCUGAUGUGAAUGAGGGAGGUUGUCUGCCCGGGUAGGGGUGACCGGAACCCUCCCAAGUCAUCGCUCAAGAAAGCACCACAGUCACACGAGAAAGAGUUUGGACUAUGACGAAGACGAGCAAGCCUUUGUUGGGGAGUGAUCGGGGAAGAGUCGAGUACAAGAGGAAGGUGGAAGGAAGAAAGCGCCAGAAGCGCCAGGUGCAAAGAUAGACCAUCAAAGAACUCCACAGCAGAGCAAAAAAGAGAAAGGCAAGGCUCGCAAAGAACAAAGGCUCAACCAUCAGAUCCAACACAAAGCCCUCAAGAUAUUUAGAGGCUUGGACUACUCUCUCUAGUAAAAGAAAGGAAGCACAAUGGGUGUUGCUCUAUUUCUUAUUAGUGAGGUAUUCUUCUGCAUUUCAGUAUUAUGGCCAUUCUUCCAUUCUAGUCUGGCACCAACAGUCAAACUAGGAGCUCAACGGCCACCUGUUACUACGAAGUUGUUUUCAUCUGGCAGAUAAGCUUUUGAGAAGAGACCACUUUGAUAACGAGUUUUCGGGUUGCCAUAUUGAUACCGCCCUUCGGGGGAACAGGAGAAUAGCAUGCACAGGAGAAGGAUUUAGGGAAAGGUACCCACCUUUUAACGGGAGAAAGGUUGCUUAUGUGAAAACUUCCCUUGUGGUUUAAAGUUCAAAUAGAUCAGGUGCCUAUGUUGUUGAUACACCGAAAGAUACUAACGCUAUGCUCCAAUGCGGGAUGAGGGCCAACGAUUGUGAUGAGUGGGGACCUUAGAGCUGAAAACCUACAUACAGUGACCCUUAUGGGCAGCGCCCUGGGCUGGCUAUGUACGAGACAUCAAACCGUCUCCCGGGUCCAGAGUUUCCAUUUCCAGGCCUGAUAGUCUUCAACUGAAAAAAGUAGGGCGGAGAACUAGUAAGAAUUGUGCCUGCCAUUCAAUUCGUGACGUGGAUGAUCCGCCGACGGAAUCGAUUAGGUGAAACGGCUCUGCAAAGUUUGUUUGUUCAUAAAGGCUGCAUGCAGCCAUGCAAUUCGUACUGCAUGGCGAUAUUACUCUACCACUCUAUAAAUGGUAUAUAGAUAUCUUCACUUCAUCACAAAGAAAUUGAGUACUAGCACGCAUUGCUAUGGAUGCUGCAACCGCAAACAGGCUUUCUGCAAUUGCUACCAAAACGGAGCAACUACAAAAUGAGAUUGAAGGGCACCGUAGAGUGCUAAACAACCAGUUGAGAAGUGUUAGAACAAUGGAUCCUGCAAAGAAAGAAGCGCGCAUUCGCGCUACCAGAGAGCGCAUAGAGGGUUUGGAGGAGAGGCAGGAAGCGCUGCGGGUGGAGCAGCAAGUGCUCUUUAUUCGUCUAGCAUCUCGCUAGAAUAGAAGAGUCCGUAGACUCUUUUUAGUUUUCUAAGGUUGGUUUAAAUUCAAUAAGUGUCUGGAGACAUUUGUUUUCAUGUCAGGUGUUCUUUGUCUUAGUUUGAUUCCGAUCUACUCCUAUGUUAAGUGUCUUUGUUUGGUUUGAUUUCUUGUGUUUGCAUGUAUGGGCUAGCCGUCAGUGUUCAAUGCUUAUGUUAAUAUAAUAACGCCAAAAUGUGCUGCAAAUUCAUGUUCAAGUUGAAAUAAGGCCGAAGGGCUAAGUGUACUACUGGAGAUUAUAUAUUCCAGCUCUGAAGUUUCCUUUUGAGCCCCCGUUCUACUAUGGUUUGGAUUCUAGUUGAAGCGUGCGACCAUCUAUUCAGAUGAGGAGACCGAGUAAGAAACCACUAAGCGGAGAGCAAACAGAUCAAUCUCUAUCUAUGAGUUUCUCAACCAAGAUCCACUAUUCAACCAAGACCCGCUAACUAAUACUUUUACGCGAGCUUAGUUAUUGGAAGUUGCAGCCGAGGAACUCUUAUCCCUAGCCACAGUUGUUGCAGCACAAGGCUUUGUCGCGAUUGGGUCAUAUGUCAGUACUCUCACAUUCCCUGUGGUCUCCCUAGUAUGCUGAGCUGAACUGAAGUGAAGUGAAGCUGCGGGCGAUGAUGGACUGAUCCCAUGCUAUUCAGGCGCCUGACAACGUUGGCUCCGACGGUGAUGAGUCUGACGGUGGCUCAGAUGUUUCUCUUCCUGAUCCUUCAAGGUCCCCCGUUCCUGACAUCGUCCAAAGGCCGUUGGCGCUCUCCCAUCUGACAGUGCGGGCUUUGCGUGUCGCCUAUGGCAACACUACCCGAGUGGUCUAUUGCAUAGUGGAUCCACGGGUACCCCGUCGCUGCUUCGUUUUUAUCAACAUCCGGUAAGCAGAACGGACAGAGAACUGUCCCGAUUUCUCGUAAUGCCAGGCCCAAAAGUCCUCCAUCCGCAUAGCAGCAAAAGUAGGCAUUUCUUUGAUACUUACUCACCUGUGGAUAGAUUUACCACCAUUCGAGUACUACUAUCACGGGCUGCCUCGCACGGUCUUCUCGUUCAUCAGAUGGGCAGACGGCUUUCCUUAAUGGGGAGUUGGAUGAGGAAAUUUACAUGGAGCAGCCAGAUCAAGAGUACCGCGCAUUCGCCUAACCCCGGGUUUUUUCGAUCAAAAUGAAGAUUUUUUAGAAAAUAAGCCCAAAAAGCAUCUGACCUUGAAAAGAAUCAUCAGUUACUUGAUCCAUCCCUGCGGUAAGUGGGAACGAAUGUGACAGCCGAUGGUAGUAGGAUUUCCACAGGUUGAGCUCCUUAUCUUUUGACUUUUCUAAGGAUAGCUGAGUAGAUAUACUCGAAUGGGAUGAAUCGAGCACGAGAAAUCACUAGGCACAGGGGAGCCAUAAGGAAGAGUAAUAUCGUUCUAAAGUUCACGAAUUCGAUUCAUUUUGGAAUCGAUAAGUGAACACGGAAUCUUGUCUUGUUCGCCUUGGUUCCGAGUCGAUUUCGCUUGUCGAAAUCAUUCAAUCCAUAAGUUUUUGUUUUUUCGAUCGGAAUUUGGGUCAGCUGAACACUUAUUUUCUCUUUCAAAAGUGGUGAUGGUGUGGGUAAAUUCCAUCGAUAUCUUGUUUCCCCUUUCCGAGGCAAAUAUCGGGGAAAUCAGUGAUUCAUUGUUAGAAAGAGGGCUGAGCUAUAAAAUCUAUAAAAUGGAGCUUGAUCGGUAGCUUCGGCCUCCCAGACCGAAAUUAAGUUACCAACAUGGAAUUACAUUUGAAACCUGACUUCCUGUUUGUCAUUGGAAAGAACAGAAGAGCAUUGUAUUCCUCCUAGGAAAUAAUACAACAGGUAAAAAUAAGAACGGAGAAGAUUCGUUGAUACGGAGCUGGUCCAUUUUACAAGCGAUCCCCUAUUCUACAUCCCGAAGAUCAUACGGCCCAGAGCCAGAGCGAUCAUUACAGAUAUAUAGGGACAGCAAGAAUCAGUAAAUACCGGGGAUACCUUACUAAGCAUUUCCUAGAUCUUGAGUUAGGCGUAGCUACUUCCUCCCCCCAUGUUCUCCUGAUUCCCCAUCCUUCCGCUGAAGCUAAACCAGUAUCAGUUGAUGGCGAGCAUAGUAGAGGCGGCUUUAUCGUAAAAAAGGCAACCGGCUUUCGAGUAAAAAAUAACUUAUAGAAGCACUUGAGCGUGGUUUCGGCCUAUAGCCGGAGGGAAUGUUUUUCAAAAUUGACCCGAUUUUGGGCAUUCGUAGAGGGGAAAGACAGCCAUGCGAUAAGCGAGGGAGAGGUCUGUCUUCCCAAAGUAGCCAUUCAAGGAGACAAGUUCUACCAUUGUACCUUGACCUGUGGAACUGGAGAAGCUCCUUUAUUGCUAGAGUUCUUGUUGAACCUUUUCUAAAGUCAACAAUUUCUGCAAUCAGGGAGGAGGCAUCGCCUUACUUGCUAUACCUUAAACCUCAUCAAGAAAGUAAGCCGAGCGAAACCGCAAUCCCAAUCAAAUAAAAGAUCAGAUGGGCUGAUCCCUGAGAUCGAUCGCUGUUGAUUUUCUAGUUUUUUAGCUGACUCGGGACCUUCCAUAGAAAACCGAGUACGAGCAACGGUCGGGUCUGCUGCCCCUUCCUUCUCAGCGUAUAGCUGCAGAUUGGAUAAAUGGUUUCUCUUCGAAUGUAUGCUACAAGAAAUGGGCUGAACCGAUCUACAGGGAAUGCAAUAGCGAAAAGAAUUCCACUCUAUCUCAUAUUUUUUUAUCAUUUUCAAGGGCCAACCCUGGGCCAAGGUGAGCGCAUCCGGGCCUAUUGCUCUUGACCUCUUCAGUUGUGCAGGCACAAAUAUGAACUGGUCUAAGUUUGUUCUUGACGAUCCCCACAAGCUUCUCUUAUCUACUUGAAUGCAAAUCAGAAAAGAGGAAGUCGCAAUGCAUUUUAUUUUUAGAAAGAAUAAAAGACACGUGGAUGGUAUCGAUCAAGAGACAUGGCUAAAGGAUGGAAGUGAAUUAGAAUCAGACGGUCGUCGAACGAAUUCCCAAUAAAUGGAAGAUCUACGUGCAACGAAUUUCGUAUAAAAAGUAAAGUAGGCGAUUUCACCGAGAGGCCUAUUGAACUAGCUCCCAUGCAUGGAUCUGCAUUGUGUGCUUUCGCCGGGGCGAGAGUGAAAAAGAAAUGUACCAAGAGUUCCGUAUGAAUUAGGUUUGCCUUUCCAAAGAAAUGAGAUAAGGAGCAGUAAGGCCUCGCAGAGCGUCAACACCGAGACAUUGUAGAGCAACGUCUUGCAACUAUGUACAAAGCCUCCAUUCCCCUGGGUGUCGUGUUUGAAAACACAGUCUUUGUCAUAAACCAAUUACCCUCCGCUCCAAAUGGCUCUACCAAGGAUCCCACAAAGUUCCCGAAACCAAGUUUCUCAGAAAAGGCCUGGUAUCCAUCUACUCACAAUAAUUUGAAUGUAGAACUGAAGAAGCACAAUUUCCUUCUUCGAGAGGAAUCCAACCGAAGAGAAGCGAGCAUCAUAAUAGCUUGAUAAAAAGAUAUUUAGUAUAAGAGUACAUUCGCGUCAAUUAUCACGCCUCUGACUGCUGAGGACGAGGUUCGGGUUAAUGAUAUUGUGAAAGGUGUCAUUAAACCGGGUCUGCCUCUGUUAGUUACGAGGUAUAUGCCAUGGAUCUCAUCUAUUCCCCUUAAACAAGGGAUAACGUGGGUUCCGACCUGGAAUCUGGACCCCCAAUUAGAGUGUGUUUAAAGAGAUUGGAGGAACUCUUCCUCGGUCUCCGUAUCCAAAGAUACUGGUAAUUAGAGAUUCAAGUGUUUGGUUCUACUCUCCGUUUUAUUCAUAGUAAGGGAGAGCAGUUCAGUCCACUUGCUCUUUGGCCGCAUCGGUUGAGGUUUGCUCUGUUCAGUUCAGUUAAAGAAGAGAUGGUAUCUUGCUUGUUUCAAUUAUCCGGGCUCGCCAUCAAUAGAUACUGGUUUCUCUUCCGCUGAUGUCGCAUCAAUUGCCCGAGGGAGCAUAACACUGCAGGCCGCAAUGAAUAUGCCCGCCGCAUCUCGGAUAAUUGCUCCAGUUGUGCUAAUUCCAGUAUCCGAGACAGAAAGCAGCAUCCACGUGAACUUUGACUGUUCAUAAUAUGGGAAAUUCCGAGGUGAAGGAUGCCUGCUCAGGUCAUGAUAUCACUGAUCCAAACUAUGCUACACCAAAUCUGAAUCCUGACUAGUUAGCGAAUCGUGUGCUCUGUGCGAAUGUCUUUAUUAGUCUAUUUCAUUUAAGCCCAAAGGAUCUUCGAAUACCGACUGGUCGUCCCAAUCCAAUCUCCCUUCUGCUUAUUCCAAUUUUUCCUAUUCCUAGCGAAUCAAAUGAGAUUCUGUUCUUCCAUCAAGAGGAGAUAGUUAUCGAUAAAGCAAAAGCGAACCUAUUGACAUAGAAUGCAAUCGAAAUAGAGACAACUAGGAAAAGACCGAAAUAAGAAACUUCUACUCCCUAGGUGGUUAUUUGCCGCAUAAGACAGCGGUGGAAGCUGAAGGAAAGAGUGGGCUUUGAAUCUAGGUAUGCUUUCUAAGGAUUGCGCUGCGCCUAGCCUACCUUUACGAACAUACCUCUGUCUUUCAAACAAAGCCCUGUGUGUGGAACUACUUAGAUUUGUUUUCGAAUUGCUUUUCUCGGGCCAUCGAGAAGUCAGUCAGCGGUUGGCUUGAGUCCUCAAGUUGGUCUUUAAGACUUAGAAGGGCCCUACACACAGUACACCUCACCUUAGUAGAAGGUAGAUUUCUCUCACCCUAUGUGCAAUCAAGCUCAGAGACUUGAGCCGCAGAAUUCCUUGCCCACUGACUGAAGAAGCUCCCUACAGUGUCCAAAUCGAGGGAUCAAUCCAACAAUCUUCUCCUUUACUCAAAGGAGUAGGUGGAAGAGUUAUGAGAGAAAUCAAGCGAUAGUGCUUGACCAGUGAGAAGUGCACCGGAAGUGUACUUCGAGCGAUGGGAAGCUAGCCUGAAAAGGUAGAGCAGAGGUGCUAACAAUAAUAAGAAUCUUUCAUCCUGCAAGUUACUCAUAAUUGAGAACUGGUAAUGUGGAUUUUGUUCCAUGCAGCUACACCUUUUCGAAAGCAAAUUCGAGGAAAUCGCUUCUUUCUUCUCAUCCCGACCUGUAUCACUUGACUUUUAGAUUGGCAAACUAAUACCAGGUUGAUGACUUCACUUCUCUUGGGAACUUGCUUCUUCCUUCACCGAAGUUAGUAGUUAGCUUUUAUGGGCAAGGUGCCAUACUGGGAAUCCAGUCAAAUGGGCCAAAGCAAUCCAAGGCAGAAGGCCCGUUUUAAAUAACUAAUCUCGUGACUUUUGCUACCGGGGGUAGGAAGGAAGUAGUGAGAUCCAGGGAGAACAAGCAAGACCAAGAACAAGAAUGAAUGCUAGAGCAUAUGCAAACCCUAGAUUAUUGUGAUGGCAGCCCGGUCAACCGCACGCUAGAAGCGGAUGGCAUUCCCAAUACAAGCCUGCAGAUCCCUGGACUCUAUUUAAACAUUGGGAAGUCCUUGACAAGAAUGCUACAUUAAGCACUUGCCACACUGACAUAUUGAUGAGCAAGCCCAGAGCCCGAAUCCGGAUGCAUGCUUAAGUGCUCGGAGGGCAGAGCCUGGGCCCCGAUCGAGCCAAUAUGUCGAUCGAUAACGUUUAAGCUCCUUGUCCCCAAGAUCUUCCAUAUAUUAAGACUAGUUCGAUCUGCCUUAGAUAAACAUAUUCCAAUAAAAAGGUUAAAUAACAUAUAUAGGUAUCUGCGGGCAUUGUGAAUCAACUAAUAUAUCUAGAAGUGAGUCAAUAUGUGUUCAUGAGUGAUUAUGCUGUAGGUGCUUCCCCUCUGUCGAGGCUUGUAUGUAUAAAUGGAGUAUUGACCUUAACUUUGAGUGUGGGUUCCGGUUUUGAGUGAAUGGACUGAUUGCAUUAUUGUUAAGAGCGGGCUGGCCUGCUUGAAACACCAAUGUGCUAUAGAUACAAGUACCCUUCCCUUGGGGAUCGAUUAACGGAUUACUCAGUAUCGGAUGGGUGAAAGCCUUAUCCAUCACCUUUAAGCUCCUUGUACGCCAACCUACUGACAAAACAGGAUUUCUAGCUGCCUCCUCCGGUGAAAACAAACCAGUAAACAUAUUAUUAGACCUAGGAAAAUAAGAACUCGUUGAACAGAAGAACCGAGUACUAUAGAAUCUGAAACACACAUAUGCGAGCUAUUAAACAUACCAUUCCUAUUUAUAAAUAACAAUGUAUUACCGCAGCGCUAAGAAAAGGGUUUGAAAGCUCUAAGUGGUACGAUAAGCGGAAUGAAUCAAACGAAGUGCAUCAUGAGGGUUGGGGAUUUAGCAUACGCUCUACUAUCAAUUAUAGGUUCACCUAUGCCCCAAGAAAGAGGUGCAGAGGUGGAAUUCAAUAGAUUUAAGCAACUUCAGUAUGCGGGUAGCGAUGCUUUUUGGAAUCCAAGAGAACUUUGAAUUGGAGGAACGACCAACACAGCUGGCAUGGCUUUGUUGAAUCAGGAUUUGAUGACAGGAACGUUGUUGAAAUAACUUCUUUACCUCCCGUAAAAUCCUUUAUGCCUGAUUUCAGUACUAACAAUAAAUGGCUAAAAACAUCCUAUUUUUUAUGGUAAAAUAUGGAAAAUCAUAUGGGAAACGAAUAACGAAUAGAAGUAGCCUAGCCUUUUCUUUCAGUCUCGGUCUCUAGAUUCCCUUGUUCUUACUGUAGCUAGCACUUGUUAUUGCAGUCAAGGAGCCAGGAGCCUUCAAUCACAUUUGAGCUUUACGCUCUUCUCCUUCUUGGGGGUCGGCCUGUAGUAGCAGGCGUACAGGACGAGGCCGAACAGCGCACCGAGGCCAUUGGGGAUCUUCAGUGCACGAACGAAGACAAGAGCCGGCACGGUUAGAGAGACACUCUCAAGUUAUAUAAGAUUUGGUUGGAACCUGAAGAUGGAGAUAUUACUGAUCGUGAUGUAGAGGUCGAAUUUGAUGAGAGCGUAGGACGUCCAGCAGACGCCGUUGAGGAAGCUCACCAGCGACAGGAAGAAGGGCAUGUACUCGACGCUCUUGGUCUUGAUCACUUUACCCUGCACGCAACCCACAAUACACAUUAAUUCCUCCCCGCAAAAAUAUAUAUUCAUUAAUUCCAAGCACAGGAUGCAACAGCUCGAGCGUUCCAAAAAUAGAUAUAUAUAUUUAAAUAGGUAAUUAACAAGAUUGAUUCUAUGUUCUAUGUAAAAUGUAAAUAAAUUCAGCAGGUAAUAUUGGUGAACUCUACACCUGGACCACAUGACCCACGAGAAGAAACCGACAUACAGGAUCCCUUUUCCGUUUCAAUGUGAUCAUCUCACAGAGUUGGCAAGGGAAGAUCACAAAAAGCACAGACUGGUAUAGGGACACAUGUACUAUCUCCAUCCAAGAACACAUGAUUCAAAAUCUGGCACACCUUAAACUUGCAUCCCCUAGGUGAACACAUAUGUUUAUGAUGAAGCUGAACAUGGCAGAUUUCAUUAGAUGAAAUAUUCCUCCCGUUCCAGACCCGUCACUCAACAGCCAACGAGUUUGGUGAGAACAACAGAACAAGUUUGGUUGGCUAAUCAAUUGUACAACAGAACUGCCUGUAUUGAAUGCAACUGCAAGUAACCAAGGAUACCGCAUCGAUAAUCAGAGGACACGUAGGGGCUACGGUAUCUUUUUAGGUAGAAACGAACAAUAGGCCUUUUGACGGAACAUAGAGCAACAUGUUCUUGGGAUGUGCCACACGAACACCAUGACAGUUUAGCCCAAAAGGUAGCACGUUGGUUUUUACUGGUAAAAAGGGGGAAAGAAGAGAUUUGACACGAUGGUUAAAACAGGACCAUUGAUGCAUCUUUUAGAGAUGGAUUUGGUUCCAAAAUUGGCUCCCGCAUCCAUGCUUCCAGAACAAACAGCAACUAAGGUAUGCUAAUAGUGGUACAUAAUGAAUGCCUCAGCUAUAACCUGAUGAGUCACUUGCCCUGAGUAAGCUGCAAGAUCCUUCACAGAUCACUGUGUCUAGAUCAUGCAACAGAUUUGAAAGAUGAUGGCAACCCAUCAUUAAUCAGUAAUCAGAAAAGAACCUGGAGACUGGAGAAGAUGAAUAUGGCUAAUCUGUUCUUAAAUAGAAGUUCCAGAAGAAUUAAUAUCGGCUUUUUUAAUCUUAAACAGUAGAACCCCUGAAUCACCAAUCCAUUUUGAACUGCAAAGGCAACGUGUCACUGACAGCUGGGUCCAAAAAAUCCUUGACUGACCCAGCAGUAAGUGACCAUGCACGACAACUUAACCUAUGAAACCCUCAUCCACACAACACCAACAACAUCACCGCCGCCACCAACCGAAGGGGAACGCAUGCCUAUUCCCCAACAAUAUCACUAACAUCUACCAAUAUAGAUCUAAAAAGACAUCUAUGCACAUGGAUCAAGAGCGGGAUCGAUGGGUACGUACCAUGAUGGUGAGGGGGGAGGCGUACAUUGCCGAGCCAAAUAUGACGCAGAGGAUGCCGUAGAACACCCAGAGCAUGCGGUUGAGCAGCGUCGCUAGGUACGGGUCUGACUUGAACUCCUCCACGUCCUUGUUCUUGACGAUCCGCCAGAACGUCGGCCUGCACAUGUACAAGCAAAAAGCAAGCGCCCCCUCAUCAGAAUCAAACCCUAAUUACCAGCCACCUUCCAUAGAGAGUAGACUAGACAAGCGGACGAGGGGGAUGGCAGCGGCGGCUUACACAGGGGAGAGGAAGAGGCCGAAGGAGAUGACAUUGCCGAUGACGUUGCGGGCCGCGUCCGAGGAAAUCAUCUUGCUUUGCUCGCCGCGAGCGGGUGGGGACUUGGGAUUGGUUUGGAUUGGACGGCGCACGCGGCGAAAGGGAAGGAGAGAGAGAGCCAAAGCAAUUGAGAUUUGGGAGUCGGUUGAGGUCGAGGGAUUAGCUUAUAUAGAUAGACGCGGCGGGGGCGCGGUGUUUAUCCGGUCUCGUGUUAGAUCCUAUGAUUUGGUUAGUUAGCCUACGAGAACAAGUCACAAGUUUUUUGUUUGACUAUGCAUCCAGUUCGUUGCUAUCUCUAUCUUUAUCUACAUGGAUAUUAACACGCACUAUUCUUGAGAGUCAAGACACCGUUUUGCUUUAAAGAGCCAAAUAAAUCCCAGAUAAUUACUAAUGCACCGUUGAGUACACAGAUUCUUUUCCUGUUCGUACUGGAGUAUAGUAAGGAAAAACUGCUUGACCGAAUCAAGGUCAAGAUAACUAGUGUGAUUCCUACACUGGGAGAAUCGUGGAUAUGUAGGGAAUAGAUAAAUGCCACCCACCUAAGUAAAGAACUGUUACAAAUAAAGAGGAAACUAAUAAGGAUAAGUAAGAAACAAGAGAAAAGAAACCAUAUUUGAUACCGGAAUAUUCGGUUUGAUAACCCGCAACUAAUUCCCCCUCUGGGUAAUCUUUCACAUUCGGCCAAAGAAGAAAUUCUAAAAACUAGAAAGCCUAUAGUCUGACGCCAAAGAUUCCAUAAAAAAACCAUAUUUUGGCUGUGCUUCAACUAUAUCAACUGUACUUGAACUGUUAGAUAAUCAUAGUCGAUAAUAACAUCACAGCUCCCACCGCUAUUGCAAAACCGUACAUGAAACCUUAGCUUCAUACGGCUCCUCUAUGAUCAGAAAAAAAAGGACUGUUUCGGUAUUAUCCCCCAGGUUUAUCAGUUGCAGGUGAAUCCUGUGAAACAUCUCUCUCGAGGCUAGUAACAACACUUGGAAAUGAAAAAUGAGCUUAGCGGCUGUACCGGGUCAGGACCAUAAACACCACGAGCCGGUUAAGCAACAGAAGCUGUGGGCGAAAGCACACUCGUCAUUCUCAGACCUGCGAUCGAGGUACGUGCGAACAAGUUCCCAUUCUCUAUGUUUCAUGGCCUAUCAAUAAAAGUUGGUAUUAGGCUGGCUCGCUUGGUGGGUCGUCUCCUUAUAUACCUAAAUCCUCGUUUCACUCAUCUAUAAAGGUCUACCCUUCGAAAGGUAGGUUGAGUUCCCCCGUAUGUAGCCAGCCACACUCUACUCGCAGGUAAAAUAUUGGCAUAGACAACAGAGAAUGUGCUAGGUAGGGAACCGAAGGAACUCUUACUAUAUGAGAAUUUGCAAUUCAAUAUGACAACCGAUCAGAAGGGAUUGGAUGAUCCCAAUGCAUUGCCCUCCUUCGCAAUACCGGAACUAUCUGACCGAGCUCCAUCAACACAGAAAGCGGAAGGGACAGCAGAUACGGAUAGACUGGAUCCGGAAAGGGAUUUCAGCCAGUCCUUGCCUAUUGCUGGGCUGGUUGUUUUGUCACGAUCCGAUUAGUAGAAGGUGAGUGAGUAAGACGAGGCCCCCGAAGCGUAAUGUAGAGCUAUACUGCUCUUGUUUUUCCUUCCGCCCUGCUUAGGAGAACUUUUUCUAGAACCCACUUUAGCUAGCUUUCAAGGAUACCAUUACAGAUGAGUGAAGCGAGUAUACCGUUUCUGGAGCUCCUGAGGUAGCGCGGUAGCGGAAGCCCUUUCUAGUUCAAGCAGUUCCAAUUCCUAUUCUGCUUCACCGCUUACACCACACUCUAUUGGUUCGCCUUGUGGUGCCUUUCGAUCAAGGUCUACUUUGGUUGACCCACUUUCUUCUACAGCGCGUUAUCCGCAUCGAAGUUAGCCAGGUUCCUACCGCUUCUUGAUAUUAUGGAUUUUGCAAUCCCUGAAUGCCAGUGCUUCUACAACCAACGGAUACUAUUUAACAUAAAUAAUAAGUAGAAAUGGACAAACGAGUGUGGCUACACAGAGUGAGGAAAAAAACAUGGUGGUACCAGCAUUGCGUAUCACUCACUAUGCUUUAUGUAAUAUGGCUUAAGCAAUGGUAAAAUGGGAGUCCUGAGCAAAGCACAUCUGAUCGAUAUGAAUGAAAGAUACAUCCGUCUUUUCUUCUCCUUCGAAGGUUAGGUAUCCGCUCGUUAGUUCAGCGCCGCAUAAAUAUUGACUUUAAAAGGGGCGACUCCCGCCUGUGCUUAAGUUGUUUCAAGCUUGUAAAGACUCGCGAUCGGAAGAUUGACCUGGUUUUCUUUCAGCUGAAACUCUACCUAAUGGUUCAGAUUCCCCGGGUCCAUGGGUCCAUGGCCGCUUAGCUUAGACAGCCUUGUUAGAGACAUGAAUGCGGGGUUCGGUUUCCAAUUGAUUUGUAUUCACCAGGACCUCCCCUUAUUGGAUUUUCUCCACUUUUCUAGUUGCUGUGGAAAGAAUGUUGAGCAAAUGAGUUUAAGGGGUGGUUUUCUGUUUACUUUUUUUCAGCCUACGUCGUCUCUCUUCCAGAACCUCACAAUCAUCAGUGUCUGAAGUUUCAUGAUAAAUAUUGGUUUCACAUUUUAUUACUUACGUGAGGAAAUAUCAAUUUGGAACUCGAAUUUGUAUUUGAGUUAUGAUGAGGAGUGAGGUAGAUUCGCAUUGUUGAAGAAAGCGAAGAAAAAGGAUGCUGCUAUGGCUUGCUUGUGGCUCUUUCUUCUAUUGGCUAGUCUCAGGCAUGAUAGUUUCCAUUUCUUUUGGAAAGCAAGUGCGGCUCAGUCAUAAGUGUUAGUAAUAGCAUGAAGUAAGUUGUUGGUAGCCGGCAUUAGGAAAAGCUUCUCAAAAGCAUCCAGAAAUAUCAUAGAAUGGUGAUCGAGAUCACCUUCACGUGAAUCAUCCUUUGCAAAUUGGGGGAAGGGAACCAAUCAAGUCACUAAGAAGUUCCCGAAACUUGGUUUAGUAUUAAGGUUCUUCUCUUCCAGCGUUUAGUAUUCAAGUUCUUCUCUUCCAGCCCCCCGGCCCCUCUUUGAGAAGGAAAGUUUGCAUUUCUCAAAUAAAAAAUGACAAAUAUGGUUCGAUGGCUCUUCUCCACUAGCAGGUUUACUGCUUUCUAUUUGCACUUUUGUAUUAAGUUUCCUUAUAUAUAUGAUUUUUUAUUAUUUUCUAUUUGUCUAUUUUUAUUUUUAGUGCGUUUUAUUUCGAUUAUUCUUCUCCCAAUUUUAAAUCUUUUCGGAGCCUCCUUCAUUAUUACUCUUCCUCCAGAGAUUCAGGAUCCCCAAGCUCUAGCUCAUUUAGCAGGGCUAAACUUCUAUCUGAGCCUUUACGAGCAGGAUCCUGGAUGGGUUACGUUCAUUCAGAACGAGCUUAAUCACAAUACCCCUCUGGAGGACAUACCUGGACGGCUUAAGCUCUUCCUAAUGGAAGAAAAGUUGUCUAGUAUGCGACAAGAUGUCAUUCAGGAAUUUGUGGCGCUUUAUCAAAGAAUAGGGCCUUAUCUACCGAUCGAGCCCUACUUGGUCGAUGAAGCGCUUCGUUCCUAUCUGGACCAUAUUCACGCAACUGAUUCUUUCACUGUUCUCCAAGCGUCUUAUCAAGAUCUGCGGGAGAAUGAGGGAGGAUCUGUUUUCUUUAGAGAUGUUGUUUCCCACAACCGGGAUCUCCUUGAGGCGGAAAGCUCCGCAAGGAGGUUCCUGGAAGUGGAACAGAGGAUCCGAUGGGAAGAAAUCCCCAAUAGCAAGGCAAGUCUCGAAAGAGGUGAGCACGAGCAUGCUCUCGACUUGUUUAAGUCGGAGGAUCUUAGAAGGGAAUUAGAAAAAAAGCGGGGUAGCUCAGUAAUUCUGAUUCUUUUCUCUUCCAGCCCCCGGGUGGGCCCCUCUUUCUUUUCUCUUCCAGCCCCCCGGCCCCUCUUUGAUAAGGAAAGUUUGCAUUUCUCAAAUAAAAAAUGACAAAUAUGGUUCGAUGGCUCUUCUCUACUAACCACAAGGAUAUUGGGACUCUCUAUUUCAUCUUCGGUGCCAUUGCAGGAGUGAUGGGCACAUGCUUCUCCGUACUGAUUCGUUUGGAAUUAGCCCGACCCGGCGAUCAAAUUCUUGGUGGGAAUCAUCAACUUUAUAAUGUUUUAAUAACGGCUCAUGCUUUUUUAAUGAUCUUUUUUAUGGUUAUGCCGGCGAUGAUAGGUGGAUUUGGUAAUUGGUUUGUUCCGAUUCUGAUAGGUGCACCUGACAUGGCAUUUCCAUGAUUAAAUAAUAUAUCAUUCUGGUUGUUGCCACCAAGUCUCUUGCUCCUAUUAAGCUCAGCCUUAGUAGAAGUGGGCAGCGGCACUGGGUGGACAGUCUAUCCGCCCUUAAGUGGUAUUACCAGCCAUUCUGGAGGAGCAGUUGAUUUAGCAAUUUUUAGUCUUCAUCUAUUAGGUAUUUCAUCAAUUUUAGGUUCUAUCAAUUUUAUAACAACUAUCUUCAACAUGCGUGGACCUGGAAUGACUAUGCAUAGAUUACCACUUUUUGUGUGGUCUGUUCUAGUGACAUCAUUCCUACUUUUAUUAUCACUUCCGGUACUGGUGGGGGCAAUUACAAUGUUAUUAACCAAUCGAAACUUUAAUACAACCUUUUUUGAUCCUGCAGGAGGGGGAGACCCAAUAUUAUACCAGCAUCUCUUUUGGUUCUUCGGUCAUCCAGAGGUGUAUAUUCUCAUUAUGCCUGGAUUUGGUAUUAUUAGUCAUAUCGUAUCGACCUUUUCAAGAAAACCGGUCUUCGGGUAUCUAGGCAUGGUUUAUGCCAUGAUAAGUAUAGGUGUUCUUGGAUUUCUAGUUUGGGCUCAUCAUAUGUUUACUGUGGGCUUAGACGUUGAUACGCGUGCCUACUUCACCGCAGCUACCAUGAUCAUAGUUGUGCCCACAGGAAUCAAAAUCUUUAGUUGGAUCGCUACCAUGUGGGGAGGUUCGAUACAAUACAAAACACCCAUGUUAUUUGCUGUAGGGUUCAUCUUUUUGUUCACCAUAGGAGGGCUCACUGGAAUAGUUCUAGCAAACUCUGGGCUAGACAUUGCUCUACAUGAUACUUAUUAUGUGGUUGCACAUUUCCAUUAUGUACUUUCUAUGGGAGACGUUUUUGCUUUAUUUGCUGGAUUUUACUAUUGGGUGGGUAAAAUCUUUGGUCGGACAUAUCCUGAAACUUUAGGCCAAAUCCAUUUUUGGAUCACUUUUUUCGGGGUUAAUCUGACCUUCUUUCCCAUGCAUUUCUUAGGGCUUUCGGGUAUGCCACGUCGCAUUCUAGAUUAUCCAGAUGCUUACGCUGGAUGGAAUGCUCUGAGUAGUUUCGGUUCUUAUAUAUCCGUAGUUGGGAUUCGUCGUUUCUUCGUAGUUGUCGCAAUCACUUCAAGCGGUGGAAAGAACCAAAAAUGUGCGGAAAGUCCUUGGGCUGUUGAACAGAAUCCAACCACACUAGAAUGGUUGGUACAAAGCCCUCCGGCCUUUCAUAUUUUUGGAGAACUUCCUGAGGUAAAAGAGACAAAAAGCUAAAAAAAACCUCUCCUAACUAUGAAGGAAGUUUCAUAGAGAUAGGUGUGGGGAAAUAAGUUCUUCAUUUGAAGAGUUAGUUGGCUGGCCUACCGGCCCGCAGAUUAGGAAGGCUUUUAUCGCCAACUGAACUGCGCAACCAAAGCGAUUCCUUCUUGGUGGAGAUAGGUGGGUCCUGGUCCAACCUAAGUCAGUUCGAACCUGACGGGUCGUUCGUUCGUGUGGAGAAUCUCUCUCCUUACUCAGGAUUUCUUUAUCUUUGAGGCGAGGCAUAUUCAUAUGUCGAAGAAGGGGGAAGUGUCUCCAUUUACGCUCAUAGAACCCGAAAAGAAGAAUAUACCGUUGUUUAAGGACCAAGGAUGCGAUGUGAGAAGCGUAGGUCGGAGUAGCAGGAGUAUGCGACAAGCAGUUGCAUGUUUGAUGUGGGUCUGUAACGAGAUGAAUUAGAACACUUGGAAUCCUCGUGGAUAUAGCUGCCACGAGGGCUCUUUCCCACUUAAUAGAUUCAUUCCUUUGUUACGGCGGUUGAGGGUACCUGCCGUUCAGAGAUGCUAUCAGAGUAGGAAAGUUAGCCAAGUUAUCCUGCCUAGUUUAGAUAAAGCACCCCGAUCAUACCAGACGCAACCCGAUCAUUGUAUACAUAACAUAGUUGAAUUUGAGUAAAUUCUCUCUGCCUUUCCCAUUUCCAAUUCAAAAACCACUAGGCAUAGAAGGAAAUCUUUCCCGGUAGAAGGUUCUCAGUAAUCAGAAGUGGGAAUAAGCCCUACUAGUCUUUUUCGCCUAAGAAGGUUUUGGAGGAGGAACCUAUGGGAACGGCAGUCCUGCAUCGAGAUUAUUAGUUGCUUACCGCUGCACAUUUUAUCAAGAUCAACCUGUGGGAAUAGCCAUCCCUUCCUUACCAAAGAAAGAAAAAAGGAAUGACGCGGUCUGGUUUACAAGUAAGAAAGAAAUAGGAUAAGGGUAAAGGUGACGUUUUAGCUCUUCGUUCCGCUCUUGGUUUACAGGCUUUGUUAACCGGACCGGAAAAGGGGGCAUUUUCUGGGUAGGUUUCCCUAUUAAGUCAGCACCGGAUCAAGAUUGGAGACCCACCACAAGCAGAGAACAAAAAGCCUAAGAGUGGUGACCAACCAUCUGCAAAAGGAGUAACAGAGCAAAGCGGAGAAGAGAAGGGGGAAGAAAAAAGGUUCCUAACUCAUUGGAUAGCUUAAUCUAUUGGUCAGGGAUCCCGUCUUUACUUUAUUUAGGUGCCUAGACUUUUCGGGGCAUAGGGUAGAUUUCACAGUCCUUUAAGUGAACACGCCUUCUCUUUAUGUAUAGAGCUCUUAAAGAAUGGAUCAGCUCCUAGCGAAAAAGUCCAAGGUCUGAAUACCAAGAGCGGUCAAACACAGUGAUCGGUCCCGGUCAAUGGGUAGAAAAGCCCGCCCUAUAAUCUGAAGUAGUCUUCGACUAGGUAUAUAAAAUGGAUAAAAAGAAAGAAGGGGAGGAGAGGAGAUAGAUGCAUUUCACUAGUCGUAUAUGAUAUUGGAAAGAAUGGAAUCGGGUAAGCUUAGGCCAACCGAUAAGUCAUCUUUGUGUAACUUCCCAUAUGCCUACUUCUAAGCUAAAGUAAGGAAAUAGGGUGAGAUAAGCAAGAAUGAGCCGAACGAAGACGUAAGGUUUGUUUAGAUGUAGUCUUUGUGCUUUUCAAGUUGCUUCUUGCGAAAUCAACUAAGUUCGAAAAAGCCAUGCCCAGGUUUCCGGGAGUUUAGAUAAGAUAUGUCAGCUGUUGGAGGAUCAAUAUUAUCCGGGGGAUCCAUAUAUUAUGAGGGAGUAUAGAGAGGGGGUCUAGAGAUAGUACAGUCUGUAGUGAACCUAUUCAAUAAAUGGACUUUUCCCUUACCUCUCAUCAGCUUCCCUUUCCCUCGCCGGUGCAGUGCCAUCUGGAUACCUCAUAAAUAAAUCAAGCAGGCCGGCUAGUAAGCGAUCCCGAGGGGCUAUCUUCUCUCCCAUGCUGGUGCCUUGCUUAACUCAAGUAUAAAGUGGAAAUGAAAGCCAAAAUCCGGGGUGAUAAAAUUCCAUUUGAAUCUUGAGAUCCAAGAAGAAGGAUAGCUUCAUGAGUUCGUUCUGACUCCUAGCUUAGCUGGAAAGCUUUUGCUUGUAUCUGGCAGUGGGUGUAACAUCCAUCAUACUCAAACAGAAGAAGGUUUGCUUAUCUAGCUCCAAGGCAGUUAUAAUCAUUUACAGAACCAGGGUUUGCACCUACUGAGGAGGAGAAAGGGCCGACGACCCAUACUAGAACUCCAAGAUAAGAUCUUUCAGUCGAUCAGACGGCCGAGGCCUUUAAUAAGGUCCGGUUGUGCCAACGAGUUCUUCUAGUUAUGAAUCGCCGUAGGGAGGUAGCAUUACAUUUGUAUUAGCAAAAUAGAGCUCCUCAUAGAAAAGAAUGGCGAAGAAAGUGUUAUAGUACUUUCUUUCUGUUCAGUCCUGGAACUUAUUCUUUUCCGAUCGACCUAUCAACAGUAGCGAUCAUACCCCGUCGAGCGAGUUAGGAGCUGCUCACAAAGAAGGCCGAAACCAGAUGAGAUGGCCGAAGCAGAUACCAGAGAAUAGGUUCCUUCACCGAAGUCUACUUUAUUUUAGAAUUCAAAUUCAAUUGAUGCCUCACAGGCUGACCAUUUUAAAUAGGUGGAAACGGGAGACUGGAGAAGAUGAUCACACUUUGGAAGAGAGACAGUCGCGUACCUGCCCCGGGAGGGGGAUUUUGUUCGAUACAAUCACUGAACUCAACCGCUUAGACUGGAGAUGGCACUUGAAAACUCGUACAGAAAUCUAUCAACUUGACUUAGAGGAAGAAGUGGCAGGGGGUAGGUCGGCUGUUUUAAGUCCGGAUGGUUCCUCUUGUUGGCAUGGCGUUGGUAUGCCUCGCUAUCCUUCAACUCUGGAUCUGCCAUCCUUCAAAACAAGAACUACCAAAACACGAACUCAACGGCUUAGAACCGUAAACCAUAUACCUUCUCGGUAAAACACAUCUCAAACAGAUUAUUAUCGAAAUGAAUGGAUUUUAUCGCCUUAAGUAAGAGAAAAGGUUUGUGCUUUCGCCAGAAAUUGACUACCUACCCAUUGAUUGGAUUUCUUCUUCUCCCAGAUCCAAUAGAAGUUUCCAAUGAGUCAUUGCCAACUGCUUUAGCAGGAAUGAUCGAAAGCAGCAGGGGUUUAGUGAUCAAGCUCUCACUUUAAAGUCCCUGCCAGCAAUACCAAUCCCAUGCUCUUCGAUGGUUCUUACGCUCUGAAAAGAAUCCUUCUAAGCUUUCCUCCUAAAAAGAACCUACGUUCCAUUAUAGACAUAGAAUCUAUCGUUGACCUACCCAAAGUCUUCUUUUGGUUCCUAGAACCAUGCAGGAAAAUCACUUGAGCAGUGACAGGUCAGCAUCAAUGGUUUUGAGAUGAAAAAAAUCAGUCAAACAACACUGGCAGAUCGGCAAUCCGAUCGGGACCUUCGUACUUGACCAUCAUAAAGGGAUCGUUGUUGCUUGGUCGGUCGAUCCGUCCUUCCACCCCAAAGCUGGUAAUCCAGAUUAGAGUUCUUUGGAUGGCAUGUAAUGGAUUUCAUUAUGAAAAGGGUCAUUUUUUUAUGUAAACUUCAUAUCCAGAGAAAUGGAUGACUGGCUGAGGGACAUAUAGAUUACUUCAGAUCUCCACCUUCCUAUGCUAUGUAUGCCAACCUUGAUCUAAUAAGUGGUCUUAAUUAAUAUGCAAGAUAGGAUAAUAUUAUAAAAAUGUUGGUUUUGUUCAAUACUUAGGUAGGGCUGACUACGCCACCUCAGCAGCUGGGACUGGAAUUGCUUACAAUGCAUCUGGCCACUGACUGAAUUCGAAGUAGGGCCAGUGUAUAAAGACCGGCUUAUCUCUCUUAAGACUUAGUCCACUUUUUACUAGAAUCAUAUUUUCUAGUUUGCAAGCAGGUGUGCCAGCUGUAACAAAAACUUACGGCUUAGGUGGAUUUCUUUAGUCAGUCUAUAACUCAGGCUUUUCUUUGUAGGACUCCCACACAAGUAAGUAGCUAGCUAGCUGGUAUUGCCAAAGCCAAAAACACUGCUGCAUUCGAAAAGGCGAACCGCGCGGACCCGACUUCUUCCUUUUAUGCUGAAACUAGGGCUCCCUCUGGGUAAUUCUACCUAUCCGUUUGGACCACGUACCUAGAUAAAGUAAAUCAUUUCAAUCUAAGUUGUCCUCAGCUACAGCAAAAACAGAAGAAAGCAACAAGUUCUCCGUUUCCUGUUCCCAAAGGGUGUGAAUGGAAUCAAUAAUUAUAUAUAUAUAAAGUUGACGUAAGUUGUAUGCAUUCGGUGCCCUCAAGUAGGUACGACUAUGGAUCAUUCUAUUCCUUUCCUUUAGGUAGUCCUAAAAAGCAAAACGUAAUGGUAGAGGAUGAAGGAAACAAAGAAUGAAGUCUGCACCUUUGACUACUGAUGAACCACCACAAAGAAUGAAGUCUGCACCUUAGCCCAGGAGAGUACCAUUGCUGACAUGAUACAAUUGGCCUUCCUCUUCAGAUUUAUUUAGAACUUCAAGCGUUCAAGGCAAGGUUGUGCAAUCUCUCGUACCUGCGAGAAAAGGGCUUAUUUACUACUUUUUAUCGAUCAAUGGUCCACCGGUCCCAUCCAAUGAGUGGUAUCUGAGUAUCAUAGUAUCAUAAGAAAGUUCAUUUGUACACUCGCUUAUCUUUCUAUAGAAACUUAUCUCUAAAUGAUUUUUAGAUAGGAUGUUUCUGGAAUUACCCCUGCUACGUAGAAUGGGAUAGUGUCAACGUCCUUCAUUAUAGUACCGAAGAUGCUCGUAGGCUGGUCGAUGGAAAGGAUGGCUUUUAUUCAAAGAGAUGGAGAUCCUGGUUUAGCAGCGGUUGCCCGUCCUUGGGUUUAUGUCGAGCUUUUCGUAUUAAGCACUGGGAGCAGAGAAAUCCUAGGGUUGCUUUGUCUUCCUCUUCUGUUCUUAAAUAUAACUGAAAAGCAUCCUGUUUCUUUAGUUGCCUCAAAGCUCAGGAUCUCCCCAUGUUUCUUCUGGAGAUGUGUCAGUGGCUUUGCAAUGAUGCCGAAAUGGCGAACGAAGCGCCUGUAAUAGCCGGCCAAACCUAAGAAGCUGCGGACUUCUUUGACUGAUUGCGGAGAAGACCUGUUGGCAAUGUUCUUAAUUUUGUGGGUUUUAGUGGCAACCCCAUGCUGGCUGAUCGUAUGGCCCAAAUAGGAUAACUGGCGUUGAGCGAAAGAGCACUUUGAGCGUUUGACUUGCCAUUGAUCCCUUCUUAACAACUCAAGCACUGAUUGCAAGUGGAUUGUGAUCUUCAAGAGAGACACUGUAGACUAAAAUGUCAUCACAUAACACCAGGGCGCAUUUGCGCAGAAGGGGUUUGUUUGAGAGUGGCGUUCAUGGCUCCCAAGAAGGUGGCUGGUGCUCCCGCGAGGCCGAAGGACAUGACCUUGUACUCGUAGUGCCCUUCUAGAGUCUGGAAGGCUGUUUUGAAUUCAUCGCCAGCUGCCAUACGAAUCUGGUGAUAACCAGCUCUGAGAUCGGGUUUAGAAAACCAUGAGGCACCAGACAUCCAGGAGUUCUUCGACUAUGGGCACUGGAUACUUGCUGACGACAGUCAUCGCAUUUAGAUAGCGAUAAUAAAUACAUAAACGCCAGGAGAAAAAAAAUAUAAGAUUUUUGGUCAUAGAACCCCUGGUACCAAUGUUUAUAGAACUGUCCAGAAUUGAUAAAGAGAAGCAGCUUUGAAGUCAUGGAGAACGAAAAUAGGACCCUGGCUCGAGCCCAUCUAGUGAUUAAAGGUAAAGUGCUUCGGUACAUUGGUGCAGGGGAAUGCGUACCUACGCCUUUUAACUACCUUGGGGAGAGCGGACUCGCUGAUGACCCUCCUUGGGAAACAAAUGAAGUGGGUGGAUUGGAGUUCGUCUCCGCCAAUUAGAGAUACGGUGCUGACCCAAGCUGAGUGAGUGAAGGCUCCGGCUUGACCUACUAGCUGUUUGCUAUCAAUAAAUAACUAGCUGACAAUAUGCUAUGCUUACUCUCCGAGCACUAAAGUUAUCGAGAAGUCAUGCAACAAAGGUUGUUGAAGGUAAAAACCGUCAAACAGAGAAAUCUUAAUCGUCAGAACAACGCUGAACCUAACUUGUACAAGAGUUGGUAAGAAAGUGCAAACGUUGAGUAAGAAAUCGCCAUAGGGCGGCACAAACAGAAAGAAAGGCUUCUGCCAAUCGGAAUAGGAAUGUGAAAUCCCAGUAAAAGGGUGUUCAGUCGAAGAUAGGAGGAUUCCUUUGAUCCAUACCGUCAUCUGACGGACUUCCUGCUGACUUCGUCAAUUGCUCUUUAUCGCUUAAUAGAAGGGAAAUUUCAUGAGAUAGAUGAAAAAAUGAAUAUCAAUCGAGAAAAAGCUUAAAUAGACACAAUUCAUAAUAGAUACAAUUCGUAAGGAAGAAGUGAUCAAAAGUACGAGGUCGGCAUAGGAGAUAUGAUGUGUCGGAGGCAGAAGGCACGGAGAAGUCAAGAUCUUCCAAGAUAAACCCAUUCCGAUGCCUAUAAAAUCAGGUGCACCGCAUCUAUACUACAAAAGUGUGAUAGGUUUCUUCGUAUUUCUUCCGCCGACAUCGCUUUCUUAUUCCUAACACAAUUGUUUAGCUAAGUUUGCUAACGAAUCAGGGAGAAUCAACAACGAACACCGCAUUUUGAAAAGGAGACGUGAUUUAUUCCUACCGUCCUGAACACGUCUAGAAACAGCAACCUCGUACAUAAUACCAUUUCGCAUUACAGUAUCCACUUUCAAGUCGCGGUGAAACUUACUAAGAUGUUGGGUCAUCAGAAUACCAUCGAAUCGACUCAUGUUAUGCCUGGAAUGGAAUAAAAACAUGAGUCAAAUGCAUCGUAGUCCCUCAAUCGAACAGUCAACUAGUUCAUAUCUAACCUUAUGUAUUCUUUUCCCGCACCUUAGCUUGAAAUAAUUGAAUGAAUGAGUGCUAUUUCAGAGUUCCAGUUUAGGUAUUAGCUCGCUACAGUUUAGUCAGUAGUUCCAGUUUAGGUAUUACCACUCUGGAUAUAAGCAUUAGAAUGAGAGUGGCUACAUAUUCGUAUUACUUGACUCGCUUUCCUGUUUCCGAAUCCCUUCUUGCAUACAAUCCUAAUUCACAAUCCGAUUCUUGCUCGAUUCUAUAAUGAAAAACAGACCUUGUGCCAUGGAUUUGAUGAAGCUUGAAAGGACUCCCCUUGUUCGAAGCCAAAGAUAAGAAGCAUACGGGUGACAACCCCAAUCCUUAUAUAUCAAUCCAAUUACCGGAGGAACGAAGAACUAAGUUUGCCUGACGCCCGAAAACAACUUGUUUGUUUUGGUGGAAGAGGAAGAAAUAGAGAAAGAUCGCCGCUUUUCAUACGCUAAUUCGUGAUUCAAAGUAGAGCGAGUGAGGGAGCUAUACACGGGACUCAAUCAACAUAUGCCAAGUGUUCCGUAAUCUAUGGGCAGCACUCCGUAGGAAUGUUAUAGUCUAGGCAUGUCGUAGUAGUCAUUAGACAGAAAGAGGAGAAACUUAACAUGUCUUAUUCCGAAUUCCUGCGGUUGUCAUUAUGUUCUAGCAAGGAAAUAGUCAUUAUUUCAUUCCGAGCAUUCGACUAAUGGCACAGAUUUCUAGUGCUAUAACAGAAACUGCCCUUAACGCGCAAAUGAAAGCCCUCACAACACUCUUUACCUGCAACUGCUCCCGCUUAUGGAAGUAGAUAAACAGGUGGUGAACAUGUAUCUGCAGCCUCUGCUGCUGGUAGAUUAACUGUUUUAUAUGGACUGAAAAAAACGGAGGGUAGUGCUUGAGAAUGCUACUCUAUUCCUGGAAUUAGCCAUCCCCUUCUUUGACUAUUCGACCUGCUCCUCGAAGCAAGGAAGGGAAUGAAGAUGGCAUUGAAUGCCCUUUCCGCAAGAAGGAUAGGAGUUGGCUUACCGCAUCUACCUUCUCAUCGCGGGAUAAGGGCUGGGGCGUUAACUUAAGUACUAAAGCUGCUGGAGCGGCUGCCUUCGUUGAUUCCCCACGAAGGAAUCGGAAUAUCUCUACUUCCCCUUACUGACCUAAGCGGGGGAGAUGGAUUAAAAACCUUUUGUGAAGGAAAGGCUGUCAAAGUCGUUGACCAUUAAUCCGGUUGAAGGACAAAUGGACAGUGAAUCAACGGAAUCGAGUUGUUCUAAGGAUUCGGAUUCGGCAGUCGAGACAUCUAUAUCUAUGGAAUUUCAAAAGAGAGAAAAGGAUCCGAAUACGACCCGAGGACGAGCUCAAACCUUAGGGUUUGAAAAGAAGAAGUAAAGCUCUCGUUUACUUCAAUCAAAAAAGGUAGGUCAUAACACAGAUUGAAUUAGACCUUACUCAAUCACUCAUCGCUGGAAAAAGUAGAGCGAUUUCCUAGCAAAAAAAGCACGAGCGAGAUAUUCUUCCUUAACAGGGAUCUCAAUUGCGGGAAGAAGUACAAAGGGAAAAGGCAGAAGUGGAAGGGUCAAACUCCUCUAUCGAGGAAAGACAGGAAGGAUAAAAGUGUAAAAUCACUUGUUUGAAACAUCUAAAAAUAGAAAUGGCUAUUAGAAGUUGUAUUUUCGGUGGUCAAAGGGAAGGAAUCAGAAAAGAGGGAAGCGCUCUCAAGGUAGAAUCAGUUCCAGGCAAGUAUGUCCAUUGAAAGGAAAGAGUCCCUAAACAGAUAGGUUUUCAGCAAAUAAGACGGGUCCUGGUCUUCGGCAACAAAAGAAGCCGAAGCGAGAGCUCGAUCAAAGAACCUUUAUAGAUCCUCAUCAUCCUCAGGUUCUGGAUACACAGCGAGAAGGGAAUCUUCCUGUUCGAAUGGAAGAUUUUCGAAAGAGAGGGGAGAAAUCAAUCACAUGCGUGAGCGGAUCGAGCUAUUAUAUAAUAAGUAACGGCUGAAAAAGCUAUUCUUGGUAGAUCCACUUGUCAAGGCGCGGAAAGCCAUGUUCCUUCUCAGCUCACGCUUUCCUGAUUGAUUUGAAAGACCCUACACACCGCCGUAUCCUUGGCUUUCUUCCCACUUUCAAAGAACUUGCUAUCAUUCUUUCGAUUCUAUCUCCUCGCUUUAGGUCUUAUGCUUCUUAUUAAAGGGGUUAUGCCACUCCGAGUCCAUCAGUGUUGAAGGAAUGGACAGAGACAGGCAAAGACAAAGUACUGAUUUUACUACCGAUAGAGAGCAGAGCUAGAGACAAGAUGCCUAGGACCUGGAGGAGAUCCAUAAGAACCAAGUCGUGGAGAAGAUAGCAUCAAACUGGAGAUAAUAAACCUAACUCUCCGUGCUUUAAUCGAGAAUGGAUACAGGGUCGUCGAGCAAAACCUUUAUUAGGGGGUAGACCUACCUUGUUUUGUUGACUUAUUGCUUUCCAGCAAAGCGUGCCGGCCCUAUCUCUAAAGCACCAAACUUACACAUUUUAGGAGAUGCCCUAUCUUCCCUUAAAGAGCCAGCUUAUUGAAUAGAGCUGUCACUCCUUACCUUACCUAAGACCCCUUCGGGAUAUCUUUUGAAAACCUUUUCUCUGAAAAGAAAAGAUGUUUGCGAUCCCUUGCCCGCUCGAUUAAAGAAAGUGGGAUCUGGCCUUGCAUUUUUUAGAUAGGGCUCCCUCACGGCAUUCUUGCUCUUGCAUUUGAAAGUCGAAUCAGGAUUCCAUCUAGAGAAAGGUUCCAAAUGGAACUAGUGAAUGUGUAUGCCGAACAUAGGCAGGUAUACCUGACCUUUGAUAUUAAGCUAUGAUCUCUCUUCUCUCUCUUGAAGUUCCCACAAAGCGACUCUGAACCUAAGACCGGGUUGUGGGAUGUCUUUUGAUAUUCUAAACUAAGAAAAACGCAAUUGGAUUUAUUUUUAUAUCCCUAUGAUAGGAAAUGAAAGAAAAGGUCGAGCUUAAGCCGAUUCCAUUGCGGAAAGAAAAGAGGCUCUCCCAUUCCCACCUGAUACGUCAAAAGCAAUUGACUAAUAAGGGGAACCAACCAGUCGAAUUCGAUUGAUUAUGUCACUCCGCAUUACAAUAAAAGGGCAGCAGCUUUCUACUAAAAUGGGCUUUGGCACUCCUUCCGCUAUUACUCGAAAUAAUAAUAAUAGUGAAAGGGCGGUCGAAUUUGUGACUACGUCAAAGGCUCGUUUCACUCGAAUUUAAAGGCUGUAACUCCUACUUAUUUCUAUUCAUUAAAGCUUGCCCAUGGCUGCUUUCUUCCCAUUCUUUCUUCUUUCUCCGUCACUAGAUUCCGGUUAAAACGCUUGGUCCACCCAUGCUUUUCCUCUCCAUUUUUCAUAUGGAAAGGGAAAGCAGUGCCAACUUAUUGGAAUUCUGCAUGGCAUAUUUCCCAACCUUCAUUCCUGCUAUUCUAGGCUCUAGUGCUCAGUCAUAAACCUAUUGCCCGCUCCGCUUUCCCAUUCCUAUUGCUUUCGGUAUCUGAAUCUUCCUAAAUUCAAGUAGAGAAUACCAGGGCUUUCUUCUUCUUUGAUUUUCCUUGGGGAUAAAAAAAUUGAUUUCCGACAUAGCACCUACGGCAUUAGGAUUCUAAGAUUUAGGAGGGGAAGGCUGAGGAGAGGGAUCACAUGCAUUGAAGCAAUCUCAAGAUUCAGAAACGAUCAAAAUAAUGGUACGGGGAGAAGAAAGAGAGGAGAGUCAUGAAAAUAGGGUAAACGCAAAGAGACGAUGAAAAGCAAUCAGAGAGGAGAGGGAAGAAUGACAAUGGAAAUCAUAAAGCUCAGCGAGGAGAACAUUACUCUGAAUAAUAAUGGAGAGGGACAUUAAAGGGGAAAACUGAGCAAAGAGAUAUAAAAAUAUAUUCGAAAAGCUUUUCACUUCUACUUUGUUUUCUUGUUUAGAUUCAUUACUUCAGUGAUUGAACAUGGGCAGAUACCUAUAAGGACCCCAUUUCAUUGACCUUCGCCCUUUUAUAUCCCUCGUUAAGAUAUGUUAUCCGGACCAACUCCCACGUAGAAAACCA
rnacentral:lncRNA from 1 species